CAAGUCUACAUACGGAUGUAUAUAGACAUAUUUUAGAAUGUACAUUUAUUCAUUUUACUUCGUAUGUAGUCACUUAGUGAAAUCUCUAAAAAGACUUAUAUUUAGGAACGGAGGGAGUAGUAUAAAAGGAGCACAGAAAAUAUACCACCGCCGCAUGAGACAUCUAAAUGAUUGUUCAAGGACAGAUUAGUCAACCACCUUUUGCAUUUUUUUUAACAGGGCUUCAGAAAGAAGCUAGGGAAACAGACUAUUGUUCUCUCAACUAAAUAUAUAAAUAAAUACCCCAUCAACAGUUUUCUUUUUCUCCUCAACUUGUCGGCCUGUUCUCCGCAAGACAGUCUGCAUAGUUCUGAGAUUAGACAUUUUGGCCGCUCAUGCAUUUUCAAUCAUUCUCCAAAAGAGGGUAUAGUUUUCCAACAAGAGGCUCCAACGCAGAUGUGCCCCUUUUGAACACAAAGGAGAAGCAGCAGCUCAGCAAACCCUUCCAGAAAGGAACAUUGUACUCCCUCCGUUCCUAAAUAUAAGUCUUUUGUAAGAUCUCACUAGAGAUUACAUAUGGAAAAAAAUAAAUUAAUAUACACUCUAAACUAUGUAUAUAUACAUUCAUAUGUAGUCCAUAGUGCAAUUUUUAAAAAGACUUAUAUUUAAGAACAAAGGAAGUAGUAAAAUACUGCUUCCUUGCAGUACAAAUCAGGAAAAGAUUCAAGACCCUGACAGAAGAAAGGAACAAUACAAAUAACAGUAGAAGUGAGAUAACAAUUCGUCAUUUCAUAAAAUAGCCCGGAGAACACAUUAUUUUAUUCGGGGAGCCUCGAACAAAAUUCCACUGGCUUUUGGACCAACAGUCAGCUAUGCUGAGUUGCCAGAUAUUGUACAUUAAGGCUUAGGUGGAGCACCAAGGAACAAUACGGUUGUGCAAGAUUAGAUUGCAAUCUUGACCACUAACUUGCGGCACCUACAGUAAUCAAAAAAAUAUGCUAGUACAUGGCAAAGGCCUGGCCAUCCAUCAACCUUAAAGGUGCAAGCUGCAACUUAUGCAAUAAAUAAAUGAACUGGCAGACUACUAAAGUAUCUCCCUCCCAGUAGGCUUCAUCUAUCUAAACAGAUAUAGAGAAUGUAAAUUAUCAUAAAUUACACUAUCUACUUCAAAUGGUCCCAGGAAAAUAGAAGACCUAUAUAUGGCCACGAACUCAUUCAAGCUACAGAAUCUAUCCUUUCGUUGAGCCCCACGGGCAAAGGGGCUGGAUACACUGAACUCCCUGAAAAAGCUCUAGGCUUUACACCUUCGAUUUGUUCUUUUCAAACCACUAAGCACAUAAGUUAUCACACCUUGCAUACUACAAGUGACCAAAGCAGAAACCCUUAGAUGCUAACUAGAAACCGGUUAGAACUUUGAUAAGUUCCAUAGGUUAUUCCCUUAUCCCCCCUUAACUUUUUCUUAAUUAGUUAAACUUUCCAGUCGUCAUAAAAUUAACAAUCAUUCUUGCACCUUUUAUAUAUUUAUUUUCCUUGCCUGGUCUUAACGUGUUCACCUCCGGUAUAAUUUACAGAAAAAAGUUAAAAGUUUAAACGGGGAUUAUUUGGUGGACCAAUGCAAGGAAGAUCAUGCCAAAGAUGCUCUGCAUCAAGCUGAUUGUGACAUUAAAAUUUGUGGGGUCAAUAGUGAGGAAGGGGGCAAAAGAAAAGGACGGAAAGAACAGCACUAACUGCAUCUGGAAGGCUGGAGUGCUCGUAACCACCAUAUCAUCAUGGAUUUUGUUACAAGGCAUCUUGUGAUUAUGUGACCUACGAGAGUGCACACUAAAAGUGGAAUCAACUAAUGUGACCUGGGUCUAACACAUGCUGAACUCCUUUGCUCGGUCUAAAGUAUGUUUCUUCAGUAAACUAACAGAUUUUCAUGUCAGCUACAAGACUAAAUAAACACAGAAAAUAAAUAUAAGGCAUAAGAAAUGGCAUUAUCAAACUAAUACUUUGAAUUAGACAUGUAUAUGUCAGGUUACUCGAAGUCAACAAAACUUUGGACACUGAUACAGGGUAGAAUAAUCUGAAUAAACCAGCAUCUUGUGAAAAAGUACUUUUCAAGAUUAUAUGGAUGACAAGAGAAGAAUGAUGCGUUCUUGCAUCACAAUCCUGCAACCCCCAUUCAUUAGUGGCCUCUGCGCAUGGAAGAUUCCUCACAUUUUCUAGCUUUCAUACCUAUAAGAAGUGGGCACCUAAGUUGAUCAUUAGAUCUAUAAUAUAGCAUAUAUUUAAAUUAACACUUGCCAUUAAGAAAAUGGAAAAACUGAGGCAUCACAGAAAGGGCCCAUCAAGUAAAAGGCAAUAAGAGUUCCAGGUCUUAGCACAGAGGCUAACAAAGGAAAAGUGAUAUGUGACAUUCCUAUGCAUUUUGAGAUAGAUCAAACUGAACUACUAUGGAACAAAUAAAUUAAUUAAAGAAGCAGGUAAUGUUAGUAAUAGAGAAAUCUCUUUCUAAUCAUGCCACUUCUUAAUCACCAAACUUUAUCCCUUUGUUUUGUAUUACUUAGUCUGACUCCUGAUAUAGUAAAGAGAUAGCUACAAAUCUAGCUUUAGCAGAUGACACAAAUCAUACUUUGCAUUGUCCCCAGCCAUCUACAGGCCUUCUCAUUAGUCAAUGAUGUACAGCCUUAAAAUCCUUCAAUAUGUUCAGUUUCAGCACAAUCCAAACUCAGUCACAAACGCAAGAGUUGUGUUUGUCUAAUAUUCUGAGAAAGUUCACAGGGAAAAGCAAAGAUAUUAGAGCAAUAAACUUUUCAGGGUAGAGGUCCGAUUAGAUUUGUUCAAUAGAAACAACAAUGUGCUAAUAAAUACUCUCUCCGUGUCUUUGAUUUAGUACACGGAGGGAGUACAUAUUUCAGUGCAAGACAAAAUGAAUCUAUUUUUGAGUCUUGCCGAUGGUACAAAGCACUGCAACUUGAUGGUGUGAGCUUUCAUGUGAACAUCUGAUGAAAUGAAAUGUAUAUGCAGAUGUAGGAUAACAGUAAUCAUUAAACAGACAAAUGUUGAUGGAUAUUCAUUUUUACGCAUAUUAAUAUAUCUGGGCAGGGGAUUUUAUUAUGAUGAGAUUCAAUCUUCUAUGUACUCGAUAUAUUGAAAUUAUGAUAUAUAUGCAUUCAGUAAUCGAGAAUAUACUGGAAAAAAAGCGCCUUAGCAAUAAGAUAAUGAUCAUCUGCAUUCUCAUUUGAUUUAGUUAUAUUGUUAUGGUCAGAAACAAACGACAAACUAAUAUCUCCUCAUAGCUCACAAUUAGUCGUACUAGCUGAAUAUCCACGCAUUCUACGGAACUAAUAUAAAUCUAAUCAUGUGGCACAUGAUUCACCAUACAAAUCCAUGUCCAAAAAAACAACAUUGUACGGCAACUUAGAAAUGGCCAAAUGAGAAAUCAAUCAUAAGGCAUAUUUUGCAAAUCCUAGAACAAGAUGGUGAAAAUCAUGGAGAUGACACCACCAGUCACGGAGUUACUUUUGGUGAAGGGGGAGGUGGAUGGCAGACGGAUCAUCACAGCACGUUAAAAGAUUGCAAUCAGAGGUCAGGCAGUGUUUAAUUGCAUUAUGAACUGCCAAAUCUUUCACUAUACAGCAUGUAUAAGGGACAAAACCAUUAAACCAAUUAUCUGCUAAAGUGAGCCCCAUUUUCAGGCUCAUGUUCAGAUCUAUUGUUCUGUCAAAAGAAUAAUAGCAGAAAUUUCGCUUAAGUAUCCAUUUCCAGUUAGUGAUGCAUUGAGGCUGUAGAUGCCAUUAUUCUCUAAACUGGUACAAUGUAGAGGUGUCAACAAUUAUAUAGAAUUACCGCACCAUGCACAUCCAAUAAAUCAGUAGAUACCAUGAUGCACUAGCCAAAUUAAUGACUGCCAGGAACCUAUUAAUAAAUUAGUCGCUGGACUGCUUUGACUACAAUGGACAGGAAUUGGGAUCAAUUUUCACUUACACAAACAUUUACAACUGUUUUCUUCUUAUCUUCUACGGGGCAAAAGAGUCACCAAACUUAAAAAUCAUGAAUCCAAUCAGCACUAAGUUGACCAUAGAAAAAGAAGAGACAAUCCAAUACACUGGCACUGGAUUAUUCCAUUUUCUCCCUGCUUGAACUCAACAAUACAUACGGACAGAAAAUGAUUCAAGCAUGCAAACCCUACUUGCAGUAGCUUAUCAUUCAGUAGGGGUAAAAGAGAAGCAGGGAAGAAGAAAGAACUGCAGGAAAUCAACGUAUGAUGCGUUGGUGGACUAUUCCAUAUUUGAUAGACAUCAUCAGUAUAACUAGAGCCUGUGACCCAGUGCCCACUAGGAUCAAAAGCAGUCAAGAAAUGAUGUGCAGCAAGUAUUGGUACUGAGGCAGGAAAAGGAUGUAGUGUUCGCUGAGCGGCCAACCAGCCAUUACGUUCAUUUUAAGUUGAUCAUCUCCUAGUUUACCUUUCAGUUUCCCAACCUAGGAAUGCACAGACACAAAAAUCCUAAAAGACAGUGGCUCAUUUUAGAUAAAAGUAAAACAUAGUAUCACAGUAUGGCAAAUACAGGAACUGAAGCCUGUGUCUAUGAAUUACCUAAACGAGAACUUUCUCAUUUGCUUAUAUACUUCAUUGUUUUUUUUUUAGACCAGGUUCUACAAGUUCACUACAUCCAGGAGCCACAGUUAGGAAACGAAGCAUAAACUGAACUUUCCAACUCACAUUUCAUACAAAACAACCAUGUCGUCAGAUACCAAUUCUUGCUCCCCAAACAUUGAUAAAUCUCAACACAGGGGGCAAUUAGCAGUACAUUCUUAUUGCAACGAUUCUAUGAAUCUUGUGAACAAGCAGCAGAUAAGCGAAAUCUAACUUGUCUCAGGCUUCGAGCAGAAAGGCACAUCUCUACACGCCCUUUCACCUCGGCGCCGCGAAAGUCACACGUCCUCCCCGCCACGGCUGCCGCCUCCGCCUGCGCCGUCCAGACCCUUGAAGCCCUCGGAGACCGCCCGCGCGCGGUUCUGCGCCUGCCUCUCCACCGCCACGAAGUACAGGCCUGCAAAGCGGCAACCAUCGGAUCAGAUCGCGACAAGGAGCAACCAGGGGCACGCGGAGACUGGGAUGUAAGGGAGCGCCAAGGUUUAGGGUUUUGGUUCAGGUGCUUACUCACGGCGCUGCCGAUGGCGCAUAUCCAGAGGACGCGCUGCGACCACCUGUCGCCAACCACACCUCGACCGCCCAUCCCCAUGCCGCCGCCGCCGGCGGUGAGGCAGAUGAUGUGCUGCGCGCCUGCUCGGUUAGUUCUCGCCUUCUCGGUGCUCCGCUCGUGCCUACUGACCGACAAGCGGGUCCGACCUAGUGGGAACCAAAGUAGUAACUGGUUCUUUAGCUGGUUGGGCCGGGCUGCGGAGCCUGUCUAGGGCUCUACCGCUCUCUAAGAGCAAGUACAAUAGGAUGACAUAAACCGGCUGUAAGAUUUAAAAUAAUAUAUUUGUGAUGAGUUGAAAGAAAGAGAAGAGGAGAGAGAAAAGAAGCGGGCUACAAACUAACAGCCGGCUGUAACACGUGCUCCUAAACACUUUGUGAGAGAGGAUGGUGGUCCUUGUAUCAAUAAAAUAGUACUUAUUUACAUUUACCUAUUAUAUUUGCGGGCUAUAAGCUUGGCUAUAGAUGACGUGUCAGCAUCAUAUAAUCAGCAGCUGACUGUACUAUUAACCAUGCUCUAAGCUACACUGACAUGUGUGCUAGAAAAAAGACAACUAAGUUCUAUUUCUUCCUUUCCUUUUUUUAUCUCUUCUCAUCCUCUGCUAAAUCUCUUUUCAACUUUUGUUUACUUCACCUGAAAAAACAUUUGUUUUACUUCAGUUUUCAACCAUGUGAUUUUGGAUCUUAAAUGUCUUCUUAUUAUAAAUAAAAAUAAAAACGAGAUAAGUAUUGCAUGGCAUUACUAAGAAAACGUUAUUAGUAGUGUUGGUUUUUGCCUACCUGUAACGCAGUUGUGAGCGCUACAACUAAUAUUUAGCAGUAACGCGUUUUAUAAACAGUGUUACUACUAAUUCUGAUAGCAGUAGCGUUUGUUUCUAUCCAACGCCUUACUAUUACUACGUAUUUAUAUUUUUUUGCAUCGUUAUCCAAGAUUUUAGGAAAGCAAUGAAAAGGUAUUGAAUGAAACAAUGAUGGUUAGAAUAAAUUGCAUGGAUCCAAUUAAUCAAGUCAGAUUAGUAGGACGAUAUGAUGUUGUGAUGGCUCGACCAAGUCGGAUUAGUAGGAUGAUAUGAUGUUGUGACAGACUUGAUUAAUUGGAUCCAUCAAAUAUAAUCUAAUCCAUGUAUUUUACAUCGGAUAAUAUAAUAACUCGCCAUUAUCACAACUUGUCAUUAUAAUAUCAUAACUCAUCAUCUAGCAUAUCAUAAGUUACCAACACAAACUAACUGUCAUCAUACUAGUUAAAUAACUCAUCAUUAUUCUAGCACAUAAUGACUAUAAGCUACAACCUACUACUCUCUCAUAGGUAAAAUAGCAUUAAAAAUAAAUUCAUGCAUCUCCCUAUUGAAGAAUAUAGACCAACCUACCUUCAACUUGUGGGAUGCACACAUCCUUAUAGUCUAUGGCAAGUGAUUGCCUGCGUGCUUUUAUUGCGUUGCUCCAUGCUUUGAUUUCCAGGGUUUCCUCCUUUUGAGAUAUCGUGUAUCUACCUGGGUAACUCAUCGACAUUGGUCGUAAGCUAGCCAUCUUCAAAUCACAUUUGGUAAACAUCACACUAGGAAUAGUCUUCGGCGGGAGUACCUGUUGAAGAACAUAAUUAAUAAUAAUAUAGUUAGCAAACUAGUUUUGCUUAAUAAAAUGUAUGCAAAAGAUGAACUAGUGACACAAUAGUAAAAAAACUUACAAAGAUGUCAGAAGUGAUGUUAAAAUGGUUCAACUCGUGCACUGGUGGCACGUAUUCGGUAUAACUUUCGCCAAUCAUGUAAUUGUUCUUAAAUGCUCAACAUCGUGAAUAAAUGAGAUUAGAUGAUUUAUUCUCCAACCAAGUAAGCUCAGAGCCACGACUGUAGUAGGUUUGCUCUACUAUCUAACAUGUAUUUUUUGGAGAAGAGAAAUAAGCUCACAAUUAAAAAUAAGCAAGUUUAGUCAUAAUAAGUACCAAAUAUUUUUCAAUAAAAAAUAUAAAUUACCUAGCAGAUUUGUUGACAAACUCACAUGAAGGUAGAACUGAAAUCAAGUGAUCCACAUGCACCAAAAUUUAGAUAUUAUUUGCACGAUCAUCGUCAUGACCAAGAUCGAAGGUUAUUUGCAUGUCCUCUUGAAACCCGUAUGCCUUGCAUAAUGCUCUCCAAGUGAAACAACCAAAAUAUGUUUGAUGUACUACAUUUUCUAGCUUAACAUCAAAAGUGAAAAGGUACGUUUUUAGGUGAGCUCUCUUAGUCUGUGUACUCUCCCUAUCUUGAAAAUGGAGCUUGUCCAAGACAUGGAGUCUUGCAUGGCAGGGAAUGCACUAUUUGAAUUAUACAAAAGAAAAUUACAGUUUAAUUAAAGCAAAAAAGCAUACAUCAUGCUUCAUUACAAAAAAAUACAUACCAUAAUAAUUUUGAAGUCCUCCUUUAGGUUGACACUGAAGGACGUACUGUUGUCUAGGUGAGGAUAACGGUCGCAUAUACUCCUGUCGUCGGUGCACCAAUUGCACUCAGGGAUCCUCUCGUUGUCAGACAUUUCAUGUGAUCGUGAUUCAAAGAUUAAAAAUCAAAAUCAAUUAUACGACGAACUAUUCAGCAUGGGUUGACUUUUGGUCUAUCGAGGCUUCUUUGAAAAACUCUCAUAUCUCAUGGUGUAUAUGAUGCGCACUCCCUCAUAUUGAUAUGGUGGUGUAUGUGGUGGACUCUCCCUCACACUAAUAUUUCGACCAUUGGUGAUGGUCGCUUCUCCCUUCAUCCCCGCGUGCAUUACCAAAAUGUCUAGCACAUGGGGAAGAAGGAGGAAGCGACCCCCACAACAAUAGUCAUGAUUCUUCAUCUCUGAUAUCUCGACCGUCGGUGAUGGUUACUUCCUUUCCCUCUCCUGUAUUAUACCAAGGUAUAUAUCAAGAGAAAAGGAUAAGGAAGCACCCUCACUACAACAUUCGAGAUUCCUCCAUCAAGAACACACUGAAAGUCACACAAGAAGCUCCAACAAAUUAAAAGUGUACCCUAUAAACAUUAAUCAGUUAACAUUACAUUUAUUUGAUAAUGACAUAAGACUGGCCUAUGUUUUGCCGGAAUGUCGUUCAAUUCUUGUUCCAGCAUAUCACGGGCACUCGGUAUUUCCUACUUUAUAGCAAAAUUAACGCCAAAAUCCACGGAAAUUUUUGACAUGACCUUUUUCUAAAAAUAGGACAUAUCAAGCGCCUGAAAUUUGUCAGAAUGAAAAUGAAUCAAGAUUCUGGUAAAAAUAGGCCAUCCGGAGAUGUUUCCUCCAAAAUCGUAGACAUGUCCAACAAUGAAACAUAGCAUUCUUUGAUGACAAAGUGAUAAUGACAUACAUAUAAUUAAAUUGUCCAAUACAUUUUUAUAUUGAAAAAUAAUUACUAAAUAAAUUCUAUAGCUAGAAUUUUACUAAAAAAUUAUAUACCUAAAUGUCUUUUACUAAAAAAUUCUAUUACUAGAUUUGAUACCUAAAAAUUUCUCAUAUACCAUUCCAAUACAUUCAUAUACCUCAAAAUUUCUACAUGCGAUUGUAUUAAAAAACUGUUUGCUACCUAAAAUUGUCUAUUCUAUUAAAAAACUAAAUUAUACAAGCAAAUUCUACCAAUUUAUUGGACAUGCACUAGUAGAAAAGAGGGUUUUGGUCCACUUGAUGAAAUCCCAUUAGUCCCGGUUCACUCACGAACCGGGACCCAUGUGGGCAUAGGUCCCGGUUCGUGAGGCCAGGGCGUUGGCCAAGCAUCGUGGGCCAUUUGUCCCGUUUCGUUUGUCACCUUCGGUCCUGGUUCCGGAAACGAACCGGGACCAAUGUGCCUCGCUCCUGGCCCACAACCAGUAGUCCCGGUUUGUGGCUGGAACGGAGACUAAAGGACAACCUGAGGUCCCGGUUCCAGCCACAAACCGNNNNNNNNNNNNNNNNNNNNNNNNNNNNNNNNNNNNNNNNNNNNNNNNNNNNNNNNNNNNNNNNNNNNNNNNNNNNNNNNNNNNNNNNNNNNNNNNNNNNNNNNNNNNNNNNNNNNNNNNNNNNNNNNNNNAGGGGAGGGAGCGAGCGACGUGGAUGGUAGGUGGGGUUGGUGGGGUGACGUGGGGUAGGUGGCGAGGGGGUGACAAGGGGGUUUCCCUCAUCUCUGGCGGCGGGGAGAGGAGCGCUGGGGGCGCUAGGGUUCCCCCCUGGGGGUCUUAUACCCCGAGGUGGGUGGGCCGAAUGGGGGUGUGGCCGGCUGGGCCAUUUGGCCCAGUUGGGCGAGGGCUUUUGGGUUUUUUUUACUUUCUUUUAUUGAUUUUUAUAUAGUUUAUGUUUUAAAUAUAUAGGGUUUUUAAAUAACUUCAAAAAUGCCCGAUUCACUUUUAUAAUUUAUUAGGGAACUUUUAUAACUCCUCCGACAUUUUUAUUUUAACAUUCGAAAACUUUUCUCGUUUGACCUAUUUUUUAAUUUUGAUUUUUUGACUUGGUUUCGACUAACGCGAUAUCAACAAUAUAAUUAACGGUGACGUGGCAUCAUUAGCAUGGGAUAACUGUAGCUUAAUUAGAUACAUUACUGUAGCAAAAGUUGAGGAUGUCACAACUCUCCCCUACUAACAAGAAUUCUCGUCUCAAGAAUUAAGAGGUAGAAGGAAAGAGCUCGGGGUAUUCAUCACGAAGAUGAUCCUCGCGUUCCCAAGUGGCUUCAUCUUCAGAAUGAUUUGACCACUNNNNNNNNNNNNNNNNNNNNNNNNNNNNNNNNNNNNNNNNNNNNNNNNNNNNNNNNNNNNNNNNNNNNNNNNNNNNNNNNNNNNNNNNNNNNNNNNNNNNNNNNNNNNNNNNNNNNNNNNNNNNNNNNNNNNNNNNNNNNNNNNNNNNNNNNNNNNNNNNNNNNNNNNNNNNNNNNNNNNNNNNNNNNNNNNNNNNNNNNNNNNNNNNNNNNNNNNNNNNNNNNNNNNNNNNNNNNNNNNNNNNNNNNNNNNNNNNNNNNNNNNNNNNUCCUUGAAGCAGCGGCGGAGCUGAGACACAUGGAAGACAUUGUGAACCUGAGAAAGGUUCGCCGACAGUUCCAAUUGAUAAGCCACUUUUCCACGCCUUUCGAGAACAGUGAAAGGACCAAUAUAGCGAGGAGCUAACUUGCCCUUGAUCCCAAAACGGUGUGCACCUCUCAUUGGUGUGACACGAAGAUAAGCCUUUUCGCUAGGUUGAUAGACCAUAUCUUGAUGAUGACGGUCAUACUGACUCUUUUGACGAGACUGAGCAGCCUUCAGAUUCUCAUGAAUAAUGCGGACUUGAUCUUGAGCAUGUUGGAUAAUAUCCGAACCGAAGAGUGAUCGUUUCCCAGUUUCUGACCAAUUCAGAGGAGUUCGACACCUUCGUCCAUACAAUACUUUGAAAGGGGCCAUCUUCAGACUAGCUUGAUAGCUAUUGUUGUAGGAGAACUCGUCAUACGGGAGAGAUUUCUCCCAUUUCUUACCGAAAGAAAUGACACAAGCUCGAAGCAUGUCCUCGAGAAUUUGGUUGACUCAUUCAACUUGUCCCUGGGAUUGAGGAUGAAAUGCAGUGCUGAAGGACAGAUGAGUCCCCAUAGCCUUCAGAAAACUUUCCCAGAAUUUUGAAGUGAACAAGCUGCCACGGUCCGAGCUGAUUAUCAAUGGAAUAUCGUGAAGUGAAACAAUUCUUGACAUAUAAAGAUCUGCCAGCUGACUAGCAUUAAUUGUUUCUUUGACGGCCAGGAAAUGUGCAACUUUGGAAAGUCGGUCAAUGACGACAAGAAUAGCAUCAUUACCUUUCUGGGAUUUGGGAAAACCAGUGACAAAGUCCAUUUCAACAUGGUCCCAUUUCCACUCAGGAAUAGAGAUAGGUUGCAGAGUUCCAGCAGGCUUUUGAUGUUCUGCUUUGAUCCGUCGGCAAAUAUCACAUUCUGCCACAUAUCGUGCAAUGUCUUGUUUCAUAUUGGGCCACCAGAAUCUUUGACGGAUGUCUUGGUACAUCUUGGUACUACCCGGAUGAAUAGACAAUGGUGUUUCGUGAGCUUCUUUCAUCACCCCUCCGGUCAUUCUGAGAUUUUCCUUCUUAUUUGGGACGAAUAGGCGACCCUUGAAGUACAAGGCGCCAUCUUCAACAACAGUGAAAAGGGAGGGUUUACCCUUUGUAAUAUAGCUUUUAAUCCUGUGGACAUCAUCGUCAAAGAAUUGCAGAUUCUUGAUGGUGCUCACAAGAUCUGGUUCAACAACCAGGUUACUGAGGGAACCCUGAUUAACAUCAAGGUUCAUCUUUCGAUACUCUUCCAGAGGGGGAACAAGGUAACCCUGAGGAACAAUAUGGAGGUUCGACUUACGGAAUUCCUCUUGCAGACGAUCGUGAACCGUAUGAACCUGGAGGUGGUUGCAGUAUGACUUGCGACUCAAGGCAUCGGCCAUUACGUUAGCCUUGCUGGGGGUAUAUGAUAUACUACAGUCAAAAUCUGCUAUACACUCCAUCCAUCUUUGUUGACGUAGAUUCAGUUCCGGCUGAGUGAACAGAUACUUUAGACUUUGAUGGUCAGUGUAGAUUUCACAGCGAUUACCGAUAAGGUAUUGUCGCCAUUCUUUCAGUGCAUGAAUAACUGUGGUAAGUUCGAGAUCAUGAACUGGAUAGUUCUUCUCAUGAGCACACAGCUGACGUGAGGCAUAAGCAAUCACCUUGCGAUCCUGCAACAGGAUAUAGCCUAUUCCUUGACGAGAAGCGUCACAAUAUAUGACGAAAUCCCUUUUCGUAUCCGGAGGAGCAAGUACCGGAGCGGAUGUCAGUUUGUCCUUGAGUGCCUGGAAACUUUCCUGACAUUUAUUAGUCCACUCAUACUUAACACCUUUGUGAAGAAGAUUGGUUAAGGGCUUCACAAUCUUGGAGAAGUUCUCGACGAAUCGACGACAAUAGCUGCCGAGUCCGAGAAAACUUCUGACUUGCUUGACAUUCUUCAGGGGAGUCCAGUCAAGAAUAGCUUGAAUUCAUUCGGGGUUAACUGCAAUGCCAUCCUUGGAAAUCACAUGACCAAGGUAUGUCACUUCGUCCAGCCAAAAUUCACAUUUGGAAUACUUCGCAUAGAGUUUAUGCUCCCGAAGCUUAUCCAGUACAAGAUGAAGAUGUUCAGCAUGCUCUUCUUUAUUCUUCGAAAAUACUAGAAUAUCAUCCAGAUAUACCACGACGAAUUCGUCGAGGUAGUCCAUGAAUAUAUAAUUCAUCAAUCGAGAGAAGGUUGUCGGUGCAUUGGUUAAGCCGAAGGACAUGACGGUGUACUCAUAUGAUCCAUAACGGGUAACAAAGGCGGUCUUUGGAAUAUCCUCUUUGUGAACACAGAUCUGGUGGUAUCCCAACCUCAAGUCGAGCUUAGAGAAGACGGUGGAACCAGCAAGUUGAUCAUACAUAUCAUUAAUCCGAGGGAGAGGAUAUUUGUUUUGAAUAGUGGCCUGGUUGAUAGGACGAUAGUCUUGAACCAAUCGAUUUGUCCCAUCCUUCUUCUUAACAAAGAGAGAAGGUGCUCCCCAAGCAGAGGAACUCGGACGAAUGAAGCCCCGACGAAGUGAGUUGUCAAUUUCUUGCUUAAGUUCGAGAAGUUCAUGUGGUGGCAUUUUAUAAGGACGCUUGGCGAUAGGAGUGGUACCGGGUACCAAGUCAAUGACAAACUCGACAGCUCGAGCAAGGGGGAAUCCCCAGAAGUUCUUCUGGAAAGACAUCUUGGAAAUUCUCGAACCACUGGAAUGUUUUCAAUCCCUUCAAGAGGCGACACAUUUAAUGCAAUCAAAGCAUAUAGCCGUGCCUCAGCAUCUCGGACGAGAUGAGCAUGGUAGCUUAUUAAUUCAUCUGAAGGGUGUAGGAGGUGGACGGUCUUGGUGGCGCAAACGAUCGAUGCCGUAUGAGCUUUCAACCAGUCCAUCCCCAGUAUGAGAUCAAUGUUGGAAGAACUCAAUAACAUGGGAGCGACAAGGAAUUCCAAUCCUUCAAUUUCAAUGGGGACAUUGGGGCAGACCAUGGAGGGUCGGCAUUGGCCCGAGGGGGUGUUUACCACUAUUGGGACGUCCAUCUCUUCGUACUUAAUGCCAUGCAUGAAUGCAAAAUUUUCUGACAUGAAGGAAUGCGGUGCUCCUGUAUCAAACAAAAUAGAAGCAGGUACUCAGUUAACGAGAAGUGUACCCAUCACGGUAGCAGGCUAGUCUUGAGCUUGACCCAAAUCAAUGUUAUUGGCCUCACCACGAACAUAAGCAGGCUUGGUAUUGUUGUUGCGGUUCUGAUUUUUGCCACUGCCAGUUGAGGGAAGUGCCAGCUGAUUCGGGUUUUGCCUGCAGUCUCUAGGACGGUGACCUGCAUGGCCACACUUGAAGAACAACCCGUCCUCAUGACAGGAAGGAGGAACUCGAGGCGGUGGAGCUGGAAACCUCGGCUGCCUAGGUGGUGGAGGAGGCACGCGAGGUGCAGUAUAGGACGGACUCGGAGCAGGAGCAGGCGCAUGGUACAUGUUGUUGGGAAUCCAGAUCUUCCGCUUCUGUGCAGAUGAGCCCGAAGAUGAGCUCAUGUCACGGUUGCGCUUGCUGCCAUCCUUGUAAUCCUGCAGACCAGUCUCAACCUGAAUAGCCUUGUCCACCAGGGUGGCGAAAUCAGCAUAGUCAUGAACCAGGAGUGUCAGCUUGAUAUCAGGGUGAAGGCCCUCAUGGAAUUUCUCCUAUCUGCGUGCAUCAGUUGCAAUGUCUUCUUCAGCAUAGCGAGAUAAGUCUAGAAACUCCCGUUGAUAAGCAUCCACAGCCUUGUUGCCCUCGACAACGUUGCGGAACUCACGCUUCUUCGGUCCAUGAUUCCCUGAGGAAUGUAGCAAGCACGGAAAGCAGCCUUGAACUCCGUCCAAGUGAUGACAGUUCCAACGGGAUGAGAGCGCCUGUGACUGUCCCACCAUUGAGCAACGGGACCCUUCAGGAAGUAGGCGGCAAAGUUGACAUAGCUUGCCAGGGGCACAUUGGCAGACUCCAGCUCAUAAGCAAUGUCACGAAGCCGGUCAUCAGCAUCAAGAGACUGAGUUGAGCUGCGGUAGAUCGCAGGGUUGAGGCGACAGAAGUCUUGCAAUGUCACGCCUUCCUGUUGGUUCAUGUUUGGCCUUUGAAACUGAUCCAUGAGCCCUUGCAUAAACUGGCGGUUCAGUUCAAACUGUUGGAUCAUCCCCGCCAUAUACUCAGGAGGCGGGGGUGGUGCAUCGUUGGCGGGGCCAUGCGGGCGGCCAGCUGGUCUAACCAUCCUGCUAAAUAUUUAACAUGGGUAGUUUAGCUUAAAGUAAUUGCAAAGGCAUCGCACGCAUUCAUGAAGUAAUCAAGCAUGACGAAAGGGAAAUGCGAUAGAUACUUCAUAGUGGUUGAGUUCGACAUACACACCCAUACAUAAGUUCGAUUAUAGACCAUCGAUUACAAAUUCGAAAUUUGGCGAUAACCUCGACGCAUUAGACGAUAACCUGGACUCACUAGGUGGCAGGCACGCACGUGGUGGAAGAGUACCACAAUGAGACAUAGAUAAGGCUACAUCAACGUCGGAGAGGACAACAAAUCCUGAUAGGUGGCAGUGAUAGAAGGUAGGAACACGACCCUGCGUUCCGUGGUGACUCUUGUGAGGGUACCACAUCCACUUGAGGAGUUGAGGUCCAAGUGUAGGGGUACUACCCCCAACAUCAGUCCACUCAAGUGAUGAGGACAUGACUACCUUUGAUAUUAUCACAAUCACUGCAUAUGCGUAUUUAUUUGAGGAGAUUUCUAAUAAAACUCAUGCAAUAAUUUAUUUAUGUUAUCCGGAACAAAAAUACUUCACCUGUUUUUAUUUUAUGCCUAAAUGCACAAUGGUCGAACAGUUGUAUGAAUCACAUGCGAUGACAAGGGAAGAGGAAAUGGUUGGAUGCUAUUCAAGAGGUCCUAUCAUGUCAAAGGAAAUAAUCAGUUGCUGUUCAAGAAGUUCUCUCACGUCACUUUUAGCCAAAGAAAAAAUAGAGUCCAAGUCUUUCACGUUCUAGACUCAGAUUCGGACUGCACACACAUACGUGUAUCAAAGCGCCUUUAACUUUUUCAUCCGGACUCCGAAUUGCGUGAUUCUUUUUAGGAUGCAAAGUAGAUUUUACUGGCUUUCAGGCCCAAUUGGAAUCGCCUUCAAAUUCAUCCGGAGCGUGGAGAUCUCGACCAAACAAAAUGACAUUGCACCAGAAUCCGAGUCAAACAACAAGUCCAAAAGUGUUGCACCACCUCCACUUGGGCCCAUAGGCCUUGUACGACCUAGGUUUAGUUUUAGGCUGCCUAGGAAUGUCCUCCCACCUCCUUGGCCGCGACCCCUUGCUCCUAUAUAAGUAGAUCAACUUAGUAGCUUUUUGCUUGAGAUUUGUUUAGUUAAAAGUUAGCCAUUGCAACUUCGUGUAUUUCGUUUGUGUCCAAUGACCAGACUAAGACCGCUUUCGGAUCCCCGCCCUUAUCAAUACUUCAUAUAUAUUCGCAAUAUUCAUAUUGCAAUAUCAUAUUCUUGCUUGUUCUUCGAUUGCUUGCAGGAAUAGACCUUCGUGGUCAGGUUGAUCGUGCUCCGGCGUGGUCAAUAACCUCUUGGAGAUUGGUUUAGCGAUUGCUAAAGCGCGACGUUGUGCAUGUUUGUAGUCGGAUCGUCAAAGUCAUCUCCACCAAAUCAAUAGUUGUCAUCUCACCGAAAGAUCGGGACACCCUUGCCAGCCACGAGUGUUCUAUCAAGUGGUAUCAGUUUUCAGGUUGCUCGGUGAGAAUUUCCCAUUAUCCCUAGAUUAGAUUUAUUUUUUCUUACCUAUUACCUCAGAAAAAACCAGAAAAAAUAGUUAGAUGUAGUCAUCCUUUGUCCAAGCCAGUUCGAGCCUUUGUAAUUUCCUUUUUAGUGCUUGCAUAGUUAAAUUAUUGGUUGCAUUGUCGUGUCAAGUUGCUGGUCUUAGCGUCUAGUCUUUUAGAGUUUUGAGUUCUGUUCACAAGUUGUCACGCCGUCGCCGCACCAUCCUCAUUGCUGCUGCCAUAUACCACCAUCACGCCGCCGUCAUCCCUUCCGUUGUUGCCCACCACCAUCUAUGAAUAUUCACCACGUGCUUUAAUUGUUCAUUGUUAUUAUCAUACUUGAGGUCAUUCGCAUCUCAGCUUGAUCCAAUCUGCAUCUUAAUUGGUUGUUCGAGAGAAGAGAAAAAAAAAGUGAGAGAAAAAUAGAGAGAAAAAAAGAAAAAAAGUGAGAGAAAAAAGAAGAGAAAAAAUACAAAUUUCGGAUCUAUCUAGAGUCAAUCCCGUAUGCGAAUUCGCAUUGAAAACUCUUUUGUGCACUGUUCAGUAAAACACGUGUAUCUUCCUCAUACGAUGUCCAUUUUGGCUCCACGAGAACUCAAAUUUGAGCUAUCGACGAGCCGCAUCUAAAUAGUUGAUCAAGCUAGUUCAUUAUUGUUACCUACAAAUCGACUUCUAAAUAGGACUUUUUGCCCUUCGAACGUCAGGAACACAGUUUGUCAAUAUUUUUCAGGUCCAUUCCCGAGUUUUUUGAGUCCUCAUACGAUCUCGAAAUUGAGCGAUUCUUUUUGCAUUCAAAAUCUUGAGUUAGUAGCAUUCUGGAGAAAAAAAUAUCAGAAAUUUCACAUAAUAUUUUCAAGAGGGAAGUUCUAGAGAUAGUUUUGGUUUAUCCUGCUUGGGUCAUUUAUCAUCACUAUCUUUACUGCCAUUGUGAUCUUCACUUAUAUCUUCCUGUCGAGAGCUACUUCAUAUCAUCCAUUGCUGCUAUUUGUGCUUUGACGCGACUCCAUUAGUGUUCUAGGCUCGAGUCUCUAGUACGGUCUAGCCUAGGACCAGCACAGUACCGUCGUUGAGCAUUUAUUCAGUAUUGCAUAUCUGAAUUGAUUAUUGGUAAUCUUUUGCUACCAUACAUUAAGCCUUCCUUGCUCCACAUAUUUCUACACCGUGUAUACAUAUGUUUACACGAUAAUCGCUUUACUCAAUCUUCGGAGAUAUUGACACCGUCGGUUGCCGGUCACCGCCUGCUGCAUGGUAAGAAUUUGUAAGACAUUGAUAUUUGCUUUACUGUGAGCGUUUUACCACCACAUCCUCGUAGUUCAUAGGAACAAUAUUCUUGGAUUUUUUGUUUCUUGUUUCUACUAGUCAUGACAGGAUUCAGAGUUGUUAGUUCAUGGGCUUCUUCGAUCGUGGGAGACGUUCCACCACAACAACUGUUACGAGAGGCGCAGGGAGAUACAAAUGCACAUCAUGAGGUUAACGUUUCUAUACCACCAUUUAAUGGCCGUUUUAGACCCGCUUUAUACAUUGAAAGGGAAUUUGAAAUAAAUGAUAUAUUUGCUUCCCAUAAUUUUGCUGAACAUAAGAAAGUUAAGGUCGUGGUUGGUUCUUUCACCGGUUAUGCUUCAGUUCGGUGGAGCGAAUAUUGUCGGUUACACCCUGAUUAUAGACCUACUACUUGGUAUGAUUUGAAACUUGCCAUGAGACACACAUUCGUUCCUACUUAUUACACUUGUGGUAUGAUUAAAAAGCUACAACAUUUAAAACAAGGUAGUGACACCAUAACAAAAUAUUAUGAUGAUUUACAAACAACCUUGUUGCAUUCCUCAUUAGAAGAAAGUGAAGAAGAUUUUAUGGAUAGAUUUUGGGGAGGGUUAAACCAUGAUAUUCAGGAGAUACUAAUUCAUGAAAAGUGUUAUCCUAUGGAUCGUUUGUUUCGUCUUGCUUGCAAAUUUGAACAGGAAAUAAAAGGAUGUAUUGCCUACAAGGAGAACGAGCGCAAGGUGCUUAUUCCAAGAGUUGAUAUGGUUGUUCCUUCAACUACUGGGCGUACGAUGACAACCACAUCAAUUGUUGUGAGGGAUACAUCACCUUCACCAUGUGACAUGUUACCAUCGAGAGUGCCUACAUCAUCAGAGUUGAUCAUAAGAGGUAAUGAAAAAGGUACCUAUCUUCCACCUCCACACGAGUAUGAUGAAUGCCUUGUCAAUUGCAAUGUACCCUGUGAUGAGCCACCUAUUACUUUGAACACACCGCCUAUUUUAGAGAACUACGUUGAUGAUUUGACUUUGUCGUGUGCUCAAACAACUACAAUAUCAACAACUUUGAGUGCACCCAUUGAAUUAACUAUUGUUGAGAAAGAACCAUGUGAAAAAGGAAAUAAAUCAAAUUUGGAUCAAAUAUGUUUGAAAAUAAUUGUGCCAAUGCUUAAUCAUUUUGAUAUGACCUCCAAUCUUAGUGUUGAUUCUAUGUCAAAUGACAUGUUGCAUGAUUGCUUAGUUCAGCCUGUUGUAGCAUGCACAUUUGAAACGAUUCAAUUUUCUUCACCAAUGUUGGGAUGGUAUAGUGAUGAGCAUUGUCAACCUUUUCAUAUAAAUAAGAGCUUCACUUAUAUGUGCAAACUGAGUUGCAAUAUUUUCAUGCUUUCUACUUCUUGUGAUAAUAUUUUGACUUUAUAUUUCAUAACAUAUGAAAGUUACUCAUGUAUACCUGUGUCAUAUGUGCAAAAACCAAGGGAAGUAAAAAUGGAUGACAUAUACAUAUACAACAUGUACACCUUGUCUCUUUUGUUAGCCAAAUUUCAGAUUAAGCAGCGCCGAGGACGACUUUAUUUUCAAAAAGGGAAGGAGGAUGAGGACAUGAUUACCUUUGAUAUUAUCACAAUCAUUGCAUAUGCGUAUUAAUUUGAGGUGAUUUCUGAUAAAACCCAUGCAAUAAUUUAUUUAUGUUAUCCGGAACAAAAAUACUUCACCUGUUUUUAUUUUAUGCCUAAAUGCAGAAUGACCGAACACUUGUAUGAAUCACGUGUGAUGACAAGGGAAGAGGAAAUGGUUGGAUGCUAUUCAAGAGGUCCUCUCAUAUCAAAGGAAAUAAUUAGUUGAUGUUCAAGAAGUUCUCUCACGUCACUUUUAGCCCAAGAGAAGAUAGAGUCCAAGUCUUUCACGUUCUGGACUCAGAUUCGGACUGCACACACAUACCUGUACCAAAACACCUUCAACUUUUUCAUCCGGACUUCGGAUUGCGAAAUUCUUUUGGGGCUGCAAAGAGAUUUUACUGGCUUUCAGGCCCAAUUGGAAUCACCUUCAAAUUCGUCCGGAGCGUGGAGAUCUUGACCAAACAAAAUGACGUUGCACCAGAAUCCGAGUCAAACAACAAGUCCAAAGGUGUUGCACCACCUCCACUUGGGCCCAUAGGCCUUGUACGACCUAGGGUUAGUUUUAGGCUGCCUUGGGAUGUCCUCCCACCUCUUUGGCCGCCACCCCUUUCUCCUAUAUAAGUAGAUCAACUUAGUAGCUUUUUUGCUCGGGAUUUGUUUAGUUAAAAGUUAGCCAUUGCAACUUCGUGUAUUUCGUUUGUGUCCAACGACCAGACUAAGACCGCUUUCGGAUCCCACCCUUAUCAAUACUUCAUAUAUAUUCGCAAUAUUCAUAUUGCAAUAUCGUAUUCUUGCUUUUUCUUUGAUUGCUUGCAGGAAUAGACCUUCGUGGUCAGGUUGAUCGUGCUCCGGCAUGGUCAAUAACCUCUUGGAGAUUAGUUUAGCGAUUGCUAAGGCGCGACGUUGUGCAUGUUUGUAGUCGUAUCGUCAAAGUCAUCUCCCCCAAAUCAAUAGUUAUCAUCUCACUGAAAGAUCGGGACACCCUCACCUCUAUCAAGUGAUAUAUCAUCAAGACCUGAUGGUAGCUUUGUCCUGCUCGGCUCGCGGAUGUGCACAUGGAGAACCCUCGGGUGGUGUGCUGGCUCCAGCUCUGUCAACGCUCGUAAAGACAAGCACACGUAGCGUACAGCUCCACAGUCAGAGCUCGAAAAGCACGAUCCAGUGCCUCAGUGUACUGCACCAGAACCCGUGCAUCGUAGCGACGCAUCACAUAGGGGGCGCAAACAUCGACGUAGGACAGGUUGUCACGCUCCCAAACGCUAGUAGUGUAGGCAGUGAGAUAAGAGCCAGUCUCAUCCCCAGCAGGAACAUGCGGGGUGUAUCUGAAAGCACUCUCCUGCAGGUGAGGGUAUGCUCCACGAAGACGGGUGAUCGCGAUGUAGGCCGCAUCAUGAAAUGCUAUCUCGAUCGACAAUCCAAUACCGCAGAAGACGUGACGCUCGAGGGUGGAGUCGCCCAUCUGGUCGAAGAUGCGAACCUCAGCGUGGUACUGGUACCGGUUGUACUUGCGGAAGUCCUUUUACACAGUGUACUCGGGGUACCAGCGAUAUCCCAGCCUGGUCAGGAGGUCGACCAAAAUGGCCGGGAACCCAGUCGUCUCAGUGGCCUGUGUCAGGCGCACGUGCUGUCUUGCGGGACACAUGUGAAAAGAAGAUUGACGGAUGUCAAAUGACAGUGUGUGUAAUAUAUAUUCAGAAGAACAGAGUAGAUAGUCCAGCGCUCCAGGUCGAUGUGAUUACGAGAACCUAACGUUAGAGUUAGUAAAAUCUUUAACCCGAAAGAUAAGAGAGAGUAGAGCCCAGAGUAUAGGAAAGGAGUAAAAGAUACUAAUACCACCCAAUUGAGAUGUGGGCCCGUAAGCCACAACAUCAGUGUUAGUAAAGUUUUUCGAACACUAGACUCAACUUCGGCCAAGGAGUUGGAAAGGGGGCUACCUACAUGCAGUUGGCUCUGAUACCAACUUGUGACACCCUCGAUUUAAUCGUAUGCUAAUCAUACACGCAAAUGCGUACGAUCAAACUCAAGGACUCACGGGAAGAUACCACAACACAACUCUAGACACAAAUAAAACAUACAAGCUUCAUAUUACAAGCCAGGGGCCUCGAGGGCUAGAAUACGGAAGCUCAAUAAACACACGAGUCAGCGGAAGCAACAAUAUCUAAGUACAUACAUUAAACAUGGGGUGCCUUAGAGAAGGCUAGCACAAAAGAUAUAACGAUCGAACGAGGCGAGGCCUCCCGCCUGGGAACCUCCUAACUACUCCUGGUCUUCAGCAGCCUCCACGUAGUAGUAGGCACCGUCGGGGUAGCAGUCGUCGUCUGUGGGAUACUCCAUCUUCUGGGCUCCAUCAUCUGGUCGCAACGACGGAUCAAGGGGGCAAAGGGGGAGCAAAGCAGCGAUGAGUACUCAUCCAAAGUACUCGCAAGACUUACAUCAGAACUAUGCUAAUUAUGCAUCAAUAUCAAAGAAAGGGGGGGUAUAUGUGGAAUGACUGCAGCAAUGCGAGAAAAGGGAGAGAAGGCCUAGUCCUAUCGAAUACUAGCAUCUUCAGGGUCUUGCAGCAAUAGACAAGGUAACACAUUUAAUAGUCAUAUUGUUGCAGCAAUAUUAAUAUGAGGUCACGCCUAUAGAUCCUCCCUCGACUCCGUACGAGGAAGCAAUCCCGGGGCAACUAUUCCAUUUAAGUAACAAUUGUAGUUGUAUAAGAUCAGGGCACAACUCUAAGUCGUCGUGUAACCGUGCACACGACUAUCCGAAUAGUUAAUUUUCAUCCCUGCACGGGUGCACCAAGUUUCCCGUCACGCUCGAUAACACUCUAGCCGGACACACUUUUCUGGGUCAUGCCCAGCCUCGGAAUAUCGACACGUCGCAGCCCCACCUAAGCUCAACAGAGAGGCGAGCCCCGUCGGUCUAAUUCCUAAGCACAAAGGGGUCGUGGGCCCACUUGCCCUCCACGCUCCUGCACGAUGCGAGGGCGGCCGAUGUCAGUCCUAGCACCCCUUAAUACAAGAGCGAUGCAUCUUGGGACCACUCGGGCGCGCGCCGCUACAUCACUGACGUCUAAAGAGCUUCGGCUGAUACCGCGACGUCGAGUACCCAUAAUUCUUCCGGCGUAGACGGUUAGUGCGAAAAGGUCUCCGACCAACCCAGAUCGAAUACCCAAAUCCAUUAUCAUUUUAAUUAUGUCAUCGACCCAAACACGCGGGAAUCCACCCUCCUAAUAUCUAUUCAUCAAAGAUCCUAGUAACAUGGUCAAGUAACUGUGUGGUAGAAACAUCAGGGGGAAUCCGAGGUAUCACCCUCGAUGGAUUCUGAACGAUGUAUCCGUCAAGGUGGACCUAGAGGAAUCACCCUCGAGGGUCCCACAGUUAAGGGGUUGCACGACAGAGGCAUCAUCGGGAAUGGUGAAAAAGGAAUCACCCUCGAUAACCACGACCGACUAGUUGUACUAAAGAGAUAUCAUCAGGAGUACUUCACGAGGUGUCACCCCCGGUACCCGAUAGUAUCUAUGUAGCAUCGCACAACUAAGGGGGGUUUAAGUGACGUGCCGGGUUGUAACGACCAAGAUGCGGUCCUUUCCGAUCUGGGGAUCGAGGCCCCGAAUAGGAAAGAAGCGCAUCUAAGCGUUUCACAAACAGGUAACACAACACAAAUAAUAAUAAAGGUAGACAAUUCGGGAUUCAAUUGUCUUCUCAUAAAUAUCUCAGAGUACAUAACACAUACAAUCAAGGUAGUUCCGCUACAGACUACAAAACAUAGAAAUGCUAUGCUACCCUGCCUGCAGGCCCACGAUCACGACCACGCCUCAAUCUUCUGGGUAGUUCACGUAAAGGCGGUCUGUCUCCUCGUCGUACUGCCACGCCAACUGAGUGCCGUCGGAAUCAUCUGUCUCUGGGAUACCUGUACCUCUUGGGAUUUUUGAGGAAUCCGUUAGCCACAGGGACUCAGCAAUCUAAGACCUUGGUGCCAGAACUAGUCAAGUUAUUAGGUAGGGUAAGGUGAAGUGUUUAAGGUUGCAACAUCCUAAGCUUGAUUUAGUGGCUAACCUACGUAAAGCUUUUAUGAAGGUGGGCUAUUCUAGCGGACGUGAUUACUUGAUCACUAAGUGAUCCUGAACACCUACCUACGACAUUCAUAACCCCACUGUGUUCCCGAUCGAAGAGAGAUCUUCGAGGGGACAGUCACGGUUACGCACACAGUUGGCAAUUUUAUUAGCUUAUGUUUGAGUUAUCUAAUACCGGAUGUUAACAAAAUAUUCCAAGUUGCCACAUAACCGCGGGCACGGCUUUCCAAAAGAUUAAACCCUGCAGGGGUGCUCCAACUAGUCCAUCACAAACGUACACAGGCCGCAAAGUAAUCCUCUCUCACGAAUCUCGUGAUCUCCUCGAAUUCCUUAGAGGAAAACCUCAACUCUGGGGAAAACCAAAGCUUCACUAGGAUUCCUAUACGCAAGAUAUACCGCUAAGGUAAGGCAAGGCUAGCAGGACCUCCCGACGUGUCGGCGACCCCGAUAAGAGCCGCGUAUCUCAGUCUCAGGACACGAUGGAUGGAAAAGCCUACAGGAGCCAAACCUCAAGUUUCCCUGUGGUGGCCCCCGCAGUCUGUCCAUGUUGGACCAACACUCAUGAGGAGCACUGGCCUGGGUUGUUGAUUAAAAUCCUCGGGGUAGCUAUUCCCUAUGCAGUUUAUUAUUAAGUGGUUAGCAAAUUAACACCAAUGUUGGGUCCUAUCGGACAAUCCUUAGCACUACGCGAUUUAUCGAGGGGGUCCCCAUAACAACCCCGAACGUGUUAGGAGCGAUCAAUAUGGAAUCAAACACCGGUAGCCGGUAACUAAGGCGGCAAUAACGAAACAAAGCACCCGACAAAAGGCUAGGCCUUCCGUUAUUUACCAAGUAUAUAGGUGCGUUAAUUAAAUAACAGAAUUUAAGAUAAUGAUAUCAAGCUCAUGUUGUCACAUGAGUCAAAGCACCUGCAUCUAGCAACGCUAACAUUAGUAGCUGAGCAAAGCCUACUUAGCCAUAUAAGUUUUGCUAGGAAGGGAUCAGUGUUUGGGUUCAUGGUAUAUCAAGAGGCAAUUUAAUUCAGUGGUAGGCAGCGAGCAAUAUGACAUGGAAACGCAAACUAGCAUAACAAGUCUAGAGAUGGAAUCAAGGUCAUAUCAUCUUGCCUGUGAUAUCCUCAGCUUGGAAUGGUUCCUGUUCGUCCUGCACGUACUCUGCCGAAUCCACGUACUCGUUCUCCGAUCCCGGUGCUACCCAACAUAAGAAUAACAUCCAAUGAACAACAGCACCACAAGAUGCAUGAGAUGAAAAAUGAGCAUGCAUCACUAUUUCUAUCACUAGCACAAGCAAGAGAAGCUACUACAAGUUUAUGGACAGAACUGUACACUAAGAUAUUUUGACAUGCAUGAGAAUGACAUGAUCAGAUGCGUCUCAUGAAAACGAUGCAAAACCAUAUAAAGAACAUUACGAUCGGAGCUACGGAUCAACAGGAAUCAACGAAACAAGGUAUGAAGCCCUACGUGUCAAAAACAACACCACACACUCCAAUGGCACAAAUCUGGUAUUCCCAGGUUGCCAAGACAUAUAACAACCCAACAUGAAUGGAUUGGAUCAAGGAAGAACACCACAACAUCAACUAAGCACCCACAAUCAUCAAAAUAACAAAACUACAUAAUCUGCCAUAAUCUGCAUCUUAGCACUUUGUGAGCUACAUGCAACAUAGCUACAACCCUCCAAAUAUGACAAAUAAUAUAUGUGGCUGUAUCCAAUCAAGAAUACUACAAGCACAAGCAAGAAUCACACCAAAAGGAAUUAAACACGGGAAGAUACAAGGAUGCAAACUUUCCCAAAACCAUCAGAUCUCACGGACUAAGUGAAAAUUCCUGCACCUGACUUUCUGCCUUUGUUCUGAAGCUUUUUGAUAGCAACCAAAACACAAUCUACAGGAUUCCAAAUGGGAUGAAAUUUGACAGGGAGCUUCACAAACAUAUCAGGUCCAAAUUCCUAGCACUGAACCAAUCCUAGAUCACAACACAAUGACCAGCACAACCUCAUCUACAGGAGAAGAAAAUGUUUCCAGAUUCCCAGACUUGGUGAAAUUCCAGAUUUCACUAAGCUGGAAUUUCAGCCACAUGUCUACUUUGGAUGGGCACCACUUGCACACAUGGAUUCCAAAUCAUGAAUUGAAACCCACAUGUGGUAGAGGGGGUCACCCUCUACUACCACAACCAAGAAUCAAAUACAAGAGCACAUCAACAUGCAUGGAACCAAGCUCUAAACUUAGAAGAAAAUGCAAAUAUGACUUUCCAGAAAAAUGCUCCAAUGGAAAAUCUAAGUUCACCAAUGGAUUCCUUGGGAAAUUCUACCACAAAAUCAUAUAUAAUAUGUGGGCACUUACUUGGAACAAGUGACCACAAAUUAAGGAAGAGGAAACUACUCCAAAUCAUGACUAGUAAAUAGUGCAUCAUUUCAUGUAGUUCCUCUAUAUCAACUACUACAUGGUUGAGCUCAUGUGCACAAUGACAAAGUGACAUGGGGGUUUGAACCCCAUGUUUGUGUCAUGCACAUCAACUUCACAACCCCUUCUACUAAGCUUCCCAACAUACAAAUCAUCAUGCCCUCUCACAUAUGGACAUGUGAAGGUGCACAAGUGUUGCAAGGUGGGGAUGUUUUCACCACAUGCAUAUCAUCAACUCAUAUGCAUAUCAUCUAGUUAGAACCCACACCACCUACACAUGCUAGCAACACAAAGAAUGCUAACACAUGCAUAUGGCAAUCACACACACAAGCAUGCCUACACUAGCAACACCUCAUGUGUUUGCAACACUCACACACACAUGCACAUAUCUUGCCACCUAUCUAGACACACAAGCACAAGAUCAAGCACACCUACACUUGCAAAAACUACAAUGGAGGCACCACACACACACAUGCACAUAUAUUUCACAAGAACACAUACACACAUUACCUCACAUGGCCAUACCAUAGGAGCAAAGGAAAACAAUAAAAUGCCCUCUGCCAUCUAAGUAUAAUGCACAAAUAUCAGGCAAGCAAAAGAGCAAAAAAGGAAGAAAAUAAAUACCAGGAAAAAGGAAAAGUAAAGGGCACCUCGGGGGUCGAACCCCUAUGCCUCUGGUGUGCAACUCUGCAGCGCACCACUGGGCUGACAGGCCCUUGCUCAACAACUAAGGGCAAGGGAGCAGGGUAUGCUCUCUGCUGGCUACUGUGCAGGUAACAAAAAUCAGGAACACAAAAAUAGCACCGAGGGGGGAUCGAACCCGCGCCCUCACCAUAGGCACACCACACCACAUACCACUGGGCUACUACUCGAUUACUGACAGAGAAGGGGUCGCAUUCAAGGUAUUCUAGCAACGCUACUCUGCCCUGCCUACAGAGUAGCACUAGCGUCAGGGAGAACGCCGGGGUGUUUCGCCGGGGUUGCUGCUGUUGUGCCACGGAGGCCUUCCUACGUGCUGCUGCUGCGCCUGCUAAGCCUCCCCUACACAGAUCUACAACGAUCUACUGUUACUAGCAUCUACCUGCACCACCGCAACCUACUACACCCCUGCCUCUACUAACUGACAGAGAAGGCACACGAUCAACUCGCCGGAUCCAGGCCGAUCUAGGGGAUAGAAGAGGGGGGAGGUGCAACCUCACCUUGAGGAAGGAGGGAGAGCCCGAUCGGUGGAGAGGAAGAAGCACCGGUGGUGUAGAAGAACGACGACGAGGAAGAUCUGCUGCUGCUGAAGUAGAGGAAGGAGGGCACCGUGGCCGCGGCGAAGACAUGGCCGGGGCCGUCGGUGCAGUCGUUCCCCGGGGCUCCUAGCGCCGGGAAUGGAGCGCGGGCACCUUCCCCGAGCUCCCGGACAUGAUCGCCGAUGACGCUCGACGGAGAUGGCGGGGGUAGACGCGGCGGGGCUGCUCUCACCUCUGUGCUAACCCUACAGAGACCUUACCUGACAGAGGAGAGGGGGAGAGAGAUGGGGAAAGGAAGGUGGCGGCGGCGGCCGAGGGGGAAAGAGAAACCCUAGGCCGAGGGGGCACGGACGCCAACAAUAUAUGGGGGCACCUCGACGUUUGUGCACGGCGUCAACUCUCUCUCUGCCUCCUACUGACGGAAAGAACAGAGGGGGCGGACGGUGUCAGGAAGAAGGGGGGAGGCGCCGUGGGACUGGACUCCUGGCGCGAGGGAGGGGUACUGGGCCGCCAGGGGGGAGGAGGGCCAUCCUGAGCGCCACAUAAGAGAGAAGAAAACCCUAGGGUUUUCCUUUUAAGAGAAAAAAAACAGAGAUCAAAGAAAUGCACAGGGAAAACUACUGGGGAUAAAAAUACAACAAAAAUGCCCCUGUGUUUGGAAAAAGCUAAACUAUUUGAAUAAAAUGCAAAAGAAUAUUAGGGGCAAAAGAACAUUUACAAAACAACAAUAUGUGGGCAGUUUUGUAAUUAUUUUGCACCUUUUAAAACCCCUUUUAAAACAACAACUUCACAUCUUCAUAUCCACCACAACACAUUUUAAAACAUGGGCAUUUUUAAAAGAGGGAAGGGAGAAGAGAAUCUUGACAUAGGAGAAAUAGAGAGGAGGGCUGGAGAUGGUUUGAAACCUAUGCAAAUACUUUCACAAGCAUCACCCCACACAAGCUAUACACCACAUGCAACAUCAUCACAAGUCAACACAUGAAAUCACAAGAACACCAUGCAACAACAAGUACACAUGGCAUGAUAAGGAAUGCAUGCAUGCAAAGGAAGAGAAAAAAAUAACAAGGUGACAUCACAUGAAAUAAUGAGCAUGGGCUCUCUCAUAGCAUGACAAGGUGGACCCACAUGAGAUAGGUUUCAAAUAUGGAAGGAUUACAUCUGGGGCACUACACGGGUCUGGCUCGUCGAUCAGCGAUCGAGACUUGAAAACAAAGCGGGGCAAUUGGACUACGGGGUCAGAGGGGAUGACUGCUCCACCUAUACUGAACGGUUUAAAGUGGGGUAGUGAAAGUAGCAGUUCAUCAAAAUUAGGCUAUGCAUCAGAUAUAGAAGCUAACUACAACAGUAGAAAAAUUCUAAUGCAAGCAUGAGGAAGAAAGAAUAGGCGAUAUAGGGAUCAUCAAGGGGGGUUUGCUUGCCUUGUUGCUCUGCGGCAAAGGGCUGGUCGGCAGGGUCGUAGAUGUACCCAACAGUAGCGAUAGUCUCGGAGUCUACCGGUAAGAAGAGGGGGGAGAAACAAUAAAUAAUAGCAACAGGUGCAACACUAAGCAUGACAUGGCAAUAUGCAUGCUAGGCAUGAGCUAACGCAGUAACAUCCUUCAUAGACGGGUCAGGAAAAUAUCAGAUGAUAUUUCCUGCGUCUCUGGCUACUACCGGUCAGACUAAAAUCUCUACUAUUAAAGGGGAAUCUGCGGUCAUGAUGGUUAGACCUCCUUCGAUCUCCCCUCGUGACGCUAACUAUCCUUUCCUCCUUCCAUCGAUUUUUUUCAUCCCUCUAAAAACCAAUCAAUUCAAUAAAAAACAUUCGGUUCAAUAAAAACCCAUCUACGUCGUUCGCUAUGCUUCUUUCUUCACAUGCACGCACGCGGUAAAAAAAACUGAAAAAACAACCAUGACCCACUAGCCACGACGCACGUCUCAACUCCCUCUAACCCCCUCCUCUUCUUUCUUCGUUGGACUUGCCUCACAUCCUCCAACCCCCUCGAUUCCAAUCUCAUAUCUCAUGAGAAACUUCAUUGAACUGGGCCGCGCGGUGACCUGGGGUGACGGCUCGCCCUCUCACUUUCUCGCCGUUGAGCCCCGCUCCGCAUCUGCCCUGCAUCCACUGGAGCACGCAGCGGGAAGCUGUCCUCAAGCAAGGACGCUGACGCUGGCGCCCCUGCAGCUGCCGGGUGAGACGAGAAGCCGGGGGCGUCUGAGGCNNNNNNNNNNNNNNNNNNNNNNNNNNNNNNNNNNNNNNNNNNNNNNNNNNNNNNNNNNNNNNNNNNNNNNNNNNNNNNNNNNNNNNNNNNNNNNNNNNNNNNNNNNNNNNNNNNNNNNNNNNNNNNNNNNNNNNNNNNNNNNNNNNNNNNNNNNNNNNNNNNNNNNNNNNNNNNNNNNNNNNNNNNNNNNNNNNNNNNNNNNNNNNNNNNNNNNNNNNNNNNNNNNNNNNNNNNNNNNNNNNNNNNNNNNNNNNNNNNNNNNNNNNNNNNNNNNNNNUCGCUGGCGUUCACGGCUGAUGACCUGUUUUGCGCAUGGCAGAGUUCACGAGGAAGAGCACAUACGUGUACAAGGCGACGCUGGAGGACGGCAACGGCCGUGAGCGACUACGGGAGAAGAUCUCCAAGGGCCAGAAGGAGUUCGGGGCUGCGACGGUGGUGCUCGGUAAGGUCUGCAGGCAUUCCAGCCCCUCUUGCUUAGAGCCUACUACCUCGGCCCCAAGGGGGAGAAGCUGUUCGUCUUCGAUUACAUUCCCAAGAGCAGCCUAGUGGUCGUGAGUGCUUGCUGGAGAAGAUCGACUAGCUAGCAACACCCGAACACAUGUAACGUACCUCUUCAACUAACGGUGAUAAAACCUAGGGGCUAUAUGUAUCACCUGGGUAAGCGGAGUUAGGAUUUCUAUAUUACUUGGACAAGCAAUCUUUGGUGAACUCUCACAAUAUGUGAAAUCUAUAGGCAACAAAAAGAGAGAGCUAGCAAGCUGGGGGUUUCACUAUUUUAUCAAGAUUUGUUGUGCUAAUUUAAGUAGUUCUAAGCUAUGAUCUAACCUAACCAUUAGUAUAUUAUUUAUUGAUACAGUCCAUCUUUUGCUUUUCCAUUUUUAGUGAAUGGAGUGGAUUCUGAAAUUGCAUAUUUCAAUUAGUUUUUGGCCGUUCACCUUGAGUAGUAAUUCUGUUUAUCUAUACUAUUAAAGGGUAAUAUGCCGUCGUGAUGGUUCAACCAUGCCUCUCACUCCGUCGAUUCCUUCCCACCUAUCGAUUCCUUCCCAUGUACGAUCCCUCCUCCCACCCACGGCUUGCUCCCAUCCUCACCCUGAAAAAAGCAAAAAGAAAAAAGACCCACGACCUGGAGCGCACGUCCCACACGCACGUUGGCCUCCUCAUCUCCCGUACCCGUCGUUCCCGAUCCCAUCUGUCGCCCCGCUCCAUCGAAUUUUUUUCUGACUCUCGCUGAUGCACCACGGCCACCUGAUCCCGGCGGUGGACAUGGCGCUGCAGCUGGCCGCCCAUGGCGCGCUCGCCAGCAUCGUCGUCACGCCGACCUACGUCGCGCGCCUCUGCCCCGUGGUCGAGUCGUGGAGCUCGUGGAGCUCCCGCUCGACCUCGCUGGGACCGACGAUGUCGGCCAGAUCCCGUUAGACGAGGAGGCCGCCUACCUCCUCGCCGCGUCGCGCCUCCGAGACCCGCUGGAGCGGCACCUCCGCGCCCACGCGCCGCCCGUGACGUGCAUCGUGUCCGACAUCUGCCACUCGUGGACGGCGGGCCUCGCCGCCGGCCUCGGCGUCCCGCGGCUUAGUUUCCUCGGCAUGUCUGCCUACUGCCUCAUGUGCCUGCAGACAGAGCACCAUGCGGCGCCCAUGCACGCCGCCUACGCCGCCAUGGACCCCUACUGGCACCUCAUGCCCGAGGAGCCGGUCGAGGUGAAUAUGCCCACCGCCGCCCCCGGGUUCCUCCGGUUGCCUUCCUACGAGAAGCUGGCGUACGCCGUCGAGCGGGCGUGCGCUGACGUCGACGGUGUCGUCCUCAACACCUUCCUUGAGCUGGAGCCGGGGACAGUGGUUGACUGCAUGGAGGUCAGGAACGUCGCGGUGUGGGCCGUCAGUCUGGUGUCACUCUUCCACCGUCACGAGCAUGCGGCGGCGCUUGCGGCGAGAGGGAACGCGCCCGCCCUUGACGCCGACGAGUGCAUGCAAUGGCUCGACGGCAAGGCGCCGUCCUCUGUCGUCUACGUGAGCUUCGGGAGCAACAUCGUGCACGCGGACCUGAAGCAGGUGGUGGAGAUCGGGCUCGGCCUUGAGGCGUCGGGGCACCCGUUCAUUUGUGUGGUAUCAUCAUCACCGAAGAAGGCCGACCAGGACACUGACCAGGAGGUCGACAGGUUCCUCGAGGAGCUGGAGGCCGGGGUCGCCGGCCGCGGGCUGCUGAUCAGGGGCUGGUCGCCGCACGUGCUGGUCCUCUCCCAUGCAUCGGUGGGCGGCAUCGUGACGGGCUUUCCGAUGGUGACAUGGCCGCACCUUGCGCACCAGUUCGUGAACCAGACCUUGGCCGUACACUCGAUGGGCACCGGCGUGGGCGUCGGGGUCGAGUGGUCGGAGGAGGAGGGGGUGGAGGUGGCGGUGGUGGAGCGUGGGGUGGUGGAGGAGGCGGUGAGGAGCAUCAUGGGCGGGGGAGACGAGGCGGUGGAGAGGCGGAGGAGGGCGGCGACGCUCGCGGCGACGGCGAGAGAGGCCGUCCGGGAGGGCGGGUCGGCGUUCAUCAACCUGCGUCGUUUGGUGAAGCAUUACCAAGCAGUGACGCCGGAGGAUGCAUCAACAUCGUCACCUCAGAUAUGAUGAAGAGUUUAUAAGUUUUGCCACCCCUGUUUAAGUUUUUGCACUUGGAUUGAAUAAAGAGCUUAAGUUUGAUUAUAAUAAACAAACCUAUAAGAUUAUAUUUGAGUAGCUUCCUAGAUGAAUGGAUUAAUACAUACAUGAGUCAAAAGCAAACUGAUAUCAAACACGCAGCAAGUUACUUAAAACCGUAGAGUUUUCUCUAUAUAAAAUUCUACAUGCGAAAUCAUGACACCAAUAACAUGUGUGAUUGAAUACUAUCUAACUGAAUCUUGUACGAAAACCGAAAUAUGAUUUAGAAUGAGGCGAGGAAUGAAUGUGGAUUUCUUGCCCUAUCGGCUCAAUUCUAUAUACUACUCGAGAAAAAAAAAGCAAACCAAGACAAUCAAAGGAAGCAUGUAUAAUUUUACGGAAGUGGUGGAGGACGAGGGGGAACGAUAAUCUUAUAUAUUUAUUAUAUUAUUUAUUUCUCUAUGAAUAAAGCACAUAUUGCUUCUGUGGUACGUCAUUUAAAUUGACCUCGAAGUUGGCUUAAAUUACCCACUAUGCCACCCAUAAGUCAAAAAAAUGGUUUAGAUUUUUUCCUGUCAAAGUCGUUGUACACUAUCUUUCUUAAAGCUUGAAACCGUGAUUUGUCAUUACCAUGUGUGAGGCAUAGUGGUUGGUGCAACCCUCGUGCAUCUAGGAGAGCUAGGUUCGAUCUUUGGUUCUAGCAUUUUUUUCUCCCCCUUUUCUCUCUUUUUGUUUUUUUUCUUCUUUUUUUAGUUCUUCUAUGUUUUUUUAUUUUUUCCUGUUUUGACAUAAACUUUGCACAAAUAUUAAUCAUGGAUUUAAACAUGUCAAACUUAUAGACAAAAAAGUUUCCAUAUAUACAAAUAAUGUACAGUGCGUAGGGAUUAUAAAUAAUAUAUUUUUCUUUUAUUUUGAAAAUAUUUAUCAUGUAUUUAAAAAACUUUCAAUGUGCAUAGAAAAAUGUUUUUGAUGUAUAAGAAAAACAUAUACAAAAAUAUACAUUGUGUAUGGAACAAAGUAGACAUAAAGAAUAUAACUUUUCAAAAAUGUUAAUCGUAUAUUUAGAUAAUGUCAAACAUGUAAAUAAAAAAUGUUCAUGAUGCAUACAAAAAUGUAGACUGUGUAUAAAAAAAAAGUAGACAUCAAAACUAAAUAUGUUUUAAAAAUGUUAACCAUGAAAUUGAAAAUAUUCAACUUCUAUAUAUAAAAUGUUUGUGAUGUCACCUGCAAAAAAAAAGUUUCUAAUGUAUAAAAAACUGAACAAUGAUGCUUAUACAAACUUUACGUAAAUCAAUGGCCUAGCUUCGUUUUUUCAUAUUGUUUUAAACUGUUUUUCUGAUGUUUUUAAGUAUAUCGAUGUUGAUAUGCAAUCUUGAACAUUUGGCAUGCAUGUACUUACAAAUUUAUUGUUUUCGAUGAAGCUGUCUAAUAUGUUUGCAACCAAAUUAAGACUUUACUUUGUUUACAAAUGCAUACACUUAAAUCAGCAAGGCAAAAAUAAUGCUCUUAUGCAUAUGCUAUCAUUAGUUAAUAAAAUUUACUUUGCUAUUUUCAUCUUCAUGCAAAUAUUUGUGGGCAUCACCGAGGAGGAGAGAGACCAUGCAACUUGAAACAUCAAGUAAGACCAUAUCCAUGCUUACUUAUUAUAUGUUCAUUAAUAAUAUAAGUUCACAUGACAUAAAUUUAAAUUGUUUGGAAUAUCUGUACGCAAUAUUCUUUCAUGCUUUGAUUUCUUGAUUUGUUAAUUAAAUAUGCAUCGAGUUGGCGUAUACUCCCUAUGUAACUAAGCAUACUGAACGUACUGAAUUUUCUCAGAGAGAGAGAGAGGGACCUUAAAAUGUAAUGUCAUUUGGAACUAAAAGACGUAGACCUAUUAAGGUCUAGAGUCGUGGUUAUUGUGUUAAGAAUACGUGUUAUUUUCUCUUCCGUUGCAACGCACGGGCUCUUUUUCUAGUGAUGAAAAAGUUUCAUGUUUGCUAUGCUAGGGACACGUGACACACGAAUGAACAACGUAUCCGGGUUCGUCUCGCACUGCUAAUCAACUUUCAUGUUGAAAAUAUUUUGAUCUGACUUAUGGUUUAUUUUAUAUUAAUUUUUAAAGUUUUAUUCAAUAUUUAGGAAUUAAAAUAGAUUUAAUUAAUUCAAUUAAUUGCUUUUCUGACAUUAGCAUGAUGUCAUGCUGACAUCAGCAGUUGACUGAUCAACUGACCAGUGGGUCCCAUGUGUCAUAGACACAAAUUUUUAAUUAGGUUUAAUUAUUAAUUAAUCAGAUUAAUUUAAUGGAGGACCCACGUGUCAUACUCUAAUAGAAUAAUUUAAUUAUCCUAAUUAACAAAUUAUCUAAUUAAUCUAUUUACCCAAAAUCAUUAUUACUAAUACUUAAUUAUAUAAUUAAUUAAUUCACAAAUUAAUUAANNNNNNNAUAAGUAAUUACUUAUUUAUUUUAUUAAUAAAAUCAUAUACAUAUUUUUAUAUUUUUUUAACAUUUUUAUUGGGGGAGUUUCCUCGCCCCCUUGCUAGUGGGAGUGGGGGGUUGGCCCCACAUGGAAGUGAGCCAACGGUCUCACCACAACACAACACACACACAUAUACAUAUUCAUACAUAUACAUAAUGUAUUUUCUUCUAUAUACAUGCAUGUAUACAUACAUACAUGCAUCUAAUACAUCCAUUUUCCUUCUUUUCUCUUUUUUUUUCUAUCCUAUCGCUCUGCACAUCUCUCUGUUCCUCUCCCUCAACAGAGAGACACAUGCAACCUGCACCUCCUCUCCUAACACAAGAUUAACGGCGUCGGAACGAGGCGAUGAUNNNNNNNNNNNNNNNNNNNNNNNNNNNNNNNNNNNNNNNNNNNNNNNNNNNNNNNNNNNNNNNNNNNNNNNNNNNNNNNNNNNNNNNNNNNNNNNNNNNNNNNNNNNNNNNNNNNNNNNNNNNNNNNNNNNNNNNNNNNNNNNNNNNNNNNNNNNNNNNNNNNNNNNNNNNNNNNNNNNNNNNNNNNNNNNNNNNNNNNNNNNNNNNNNNNNNNNNNNNNNNNNNNNNNNNNNNNNNNNNNNNNNNNNNNNNNNNNNNNNNNNNNNNNNNNNNNNNNNNNNNNNNNNNNNNNNNNNNNNNNNNNNNNNNNNNNNNNNNNNNNNNNNNNNNNNNNNNNNNNNNNNNNNNNNNNNNNNNNNNNNNNNNNNNNNNNNNNNNNNNNNNNNNNNNNNNNNNNNNNNNNNNNNNNNNNNNNNNNNNNNNNNNNNNNNNNNNNNNNNNNNNNNNNNNNNNNNNNNNNNNNNGGGGGGGGGGGGGGGGUGGGGGGGGGGGGCGAGGAGCUCGGUGGGGAAAGGCAAGGAAUGGGGAGGGCGCUCGCCUGAGGCAGAGAGCGAGGCCAGGGGAGGGAGCGAGCGACGUGGAUGGUAGGUGGGGUUGGUGGGGUGACGUGGGGUAGGUGGCGAGGGGGUGACGAGGGUGUUUCCCUCGUCUCUGGCGGCGAGGAGAGCAGCGCUGGGGGCGCUAGGGUUCCCCCCUGUGGAUCUUAUACCCCAGAUGGGUGGGCCGAAUGGGGGUGUGGCCGGCUGGGCCAUUUGGUCCAGUUGGGCCGGGGCUUUUGGGUUUUUUUACUUUCUUUUAUUUAUUUUUAUAUAGUUUCUGUUUUAAAUAUAUAGGGGUUUUAAAUAACUUUAAAAAUGACCAAUUCACUUGUAUAAUUUAUUAGGGAACUUUUAUAACUACUCCGACAUUUUUAUUUUAACAUUCGAAAACUUUUCUCGUUCGACCUAUUUUUAAAUUUUGAAUUUUUGACUCGGUUUGGACUAACGUGAGAUCACCGAUAUAAUUCACGGUGACGUGGCAUCAUUAGCAUGGGAUCACUUUAGCUUAAUUACAUGCAUUACUGUAGCAAAAUCGGAGGAUGUAACACUAAUUGCGAAUCCAUGUGUGUGUAUUUCAGUCGUAUUAUAAUAUGUUGGGUACAUUCUUGAACUCCCCAAUGUGACACAAGUUAUAAAAAAAAUAUAAAAAUAUAUAGAUUAGAUUAAGUUACAAUAGAAAAUAAAGUUAUAAAAUUUAUAAAAAUAUUUAGAUUAUAUUAAGUUACAAAUUAAGUUUUUAUGUUAAUAUUUGGGAUUGUGUAUAAAGGGCUUCCCCCACUUUGUAAUAUUUGCACAAACAAUGUAUAUUUCAAGAGACAUGGAAAAAUAACAAAUUUUGGGGGACAUAAUCCACGACGACGGUAAUGUCAAUUUUUUGCUAGUGACAUCGAUGGUCUGGAAGGAGAGGAUUACGGCUUCGGUGAUCGAACAAUGGAGGAGGAAGGACAUUAUCGUGAUGGCUUCGGUGACUAGCGAAUCCCGAAGGAAGGAGACCAUGAUGACGGCUUCGGUGACCGAACGGAGGAGGGAGCUAUUGAAAAGUCCGGAUCGAGCCAAACUUAGGUAACGAGACGAGGCCCGACGAGAAGGUUGGGCAAGGAUCAAAAGUUCACGAUCACAGAACUCUCGAACGAUGGCCUACCGAUUGAACCCAAGCGGACCAGGGACGCAUUUUCUGCCUAGUGUGAGUUAUUGUCAGGGACAACAUCCUGAUCAGCAUCAAGCAAUGGAAUAAGCCUAAGGGCGACAACGUCCCUGAAGGUGAUUAUGUCACCGAUAGGCUGAAAGAUGAUCUUUGGACCGCGUUGAAGGAAAAUUUCACCCUACCGCCAGAGGAGGAUCCAAAUAAGCCGGUUAUAGAACCACUCGUCAAGGCGUGUGCUCUUAAGAAGAUGGCAGAACUACUCAGGAGGUGGAAGAAAGAGUUGAAAUCAAAGUAUGUCAACAAAGGAAAGACUCCAGAAUUCGUUGGCCGAUUUUAGAAGAUGAGAGAUCACUGUCCCGCAUUUGUGGCCUACAAGACAUCAGACAAGAGUAAGGAAAUGUCAGAGAGAAACAAGAACAAUGCUGCAAAGAAGCAGUAUCACCAUCACAUGGGGUCAGGUGGCUACCUCAAAGGCCGUCCGUUGUGGGACAAAGCUGAGAAUGACCUGAUUGCUAAAGGGGUCCAACCACAGACAUGGAACUGGCCCGACCGUUCAAGGAAUUGGUUCUUCGGGGUUGGGGGAACUUUGGAACCUGAAACAUGGGAGUCUCGUUGGACGGACGAGCAACUUGCAACACCCAUCAACAAGCUUCAGUAGUGUAUCACCGCAACGCAGGAUGGGGUGUUCUUUCUCGAAAGAGAGAAGGACGAGCUGACUGAGGCCCUAGGGAAGGCUGAGCACCCUGGACGAACACAAGGCACACCAGGCUCCGUUUCAUGGAAUGUUGGGUUUCCCGAUGCAGCCAGUUACAGAAGCCGAGCGAGAAAGAGGAAAGCGGAGCUGAGCGACAUGUAGAAGAUCAAUGCAAGGCUACAAAUUCUAGAGGAACUUGAGAGCCAGCGAGCUGCCGACCAACCAUCUCAGCGGCACGAAGCUACCCCAGAAUUUACCCCGCCAUCUCAGCGGAGAAGCAGCGUGACUUCCACGGAGCUCGUUUAGCCUGACUUCACGGCUCCUAGCUACCCCGUGGAUACUAUCACGGAGUCUCAACCUUGCGAGCUUUUGAUGAAAUGCCGGAACCUCACUUUCAAGGCUACUAUCGGCGUUGUUGCGCCUCCUCAAUCCAACGGAACUUUUCAGUGCCUUCCGAUUCCACGUGGCUUUGUUGUUGUGAUGGUGGAUGAAGUAAAGGAGGGAUUUGAGCAGCUCGAGCUUGACCACCCUACAUGUGAAGAUGAGAAUAAGCUGGUUCAUGCUUUGAGGAGUACAUGUCUAUUGCCGAAGGAGUACAUCAAGCUUCCAAACUGAACGCCUCCUCCUCCUCCUCCGGCAGUGAUCAGGGCACUCCUCAUCCUCCUCCGGCGACUGAUCAGGGCACUCCUCAUCCUCCUCCGACGAAUGAUCAGGGCACUCCGGCUCCUCCGACGCGUGAGGGCACUACGCCUUCUUCUUCAGCUCCUCCUCCGGCGCGUGAGGGCACUCCGCCUCCUUCUUCGACCCCUCCUAUGACGCGUCGGAGCAGUCCGCCUCCUUCUUCGGCUCCUCCUCCCACGCAUGAGGUCACUCCGCCUCCUUCUUCGACUCCUCCUCCGGCGCGUCGGAGCAGUCCGCCUCCUUCUUUGGCUCCUCCUCCGGCGCGUCGGAGCAGUCCGCCUCCUUCUUCGGCUCCUCCUCCAGCGCGUCGGAGUAGUCCUCCUCCUUCGGCUCCUCCUCAGGCGCGUCAUAGUAGUCCUCCUCCUUCGGCUCCUUCUUAGGCGCGUUGGAGCAGUCCGCCUCCUCUGCAAUGGAAGAAGACAGACGUCGUCGCCGCUCCGCCGAAAAUUACACAAGUAAGAAAUAUGCCGCCUCCUCCUCCUUCUCUCAAGCGGAAGACAGACUCCGCUGCCGCUCUGGCGGCUAGCAGUGAUGCAAUGUUAGAAAAACGAAGAAGUGGGAAAAUAAUUCCCCAGCUCAGCCAACAGAAGAAGCGAUCGUGCCCCCCGCUCAAGGUGUCUAGCGAUAUCGUCGUCGCUAAUGAUUCGGGGUUGCUGCCCGGUACCAAUCCUGGUGAUUACGUGAUUGAUUCAAUAAUUUUUGAGAUAGCCGAGGUAACAAAUAAAGAAACAUAUGAAUAUGUGCUCGAGAAGCCUCUCGUCAAACCUGGUCAUCCUCCUCUAACACCGAGGAUGCACGAAUUACAUGAGUGGUACAUGAACAUCUUCAGGGAGACUAGGAAAGACUCUAUCUAUAUGAGAGUGAAAAAAGAUCACGAUUUCAUUGGAACUUCAGUGCUGCUUGUUCAAUUUGAGGAGUUAUUUCAGUUAUACAAUCAACUGGCCCUCGACAAACAACUCUUGACUUCCUACUGUUUGGAAGUAUUACUUCUAUAGUUAAGUCUCUAGCUCAGCUCGUUCAUUGCAUGUAUCUAUAAUUAUCCUCACUAUAUAUAUUAUGAAGAUUGAAGAUCGUCAAAUUAAAAAAAGCAAGAAUCUUCGACGUUGGGUUCAUUAGACCAGAAUCGAUAAAUGUAUUAUCAGUACGAAAUGAAACCAAAGAGACCGAGGUUAAGUUGCUAAAGUCGUUGCUUGCAAAUCAAAACAAAAGGGAAAUACUCUUUCCUUACAACUUCAAGUGAGUGUUGCUGUCUUCUCUGUAUACUCGGUUUUUCUUACUCGAGGUUAAGUAAAUGUAAUUGAUGAGAUAUAUAUGCGUGCGCAUUUACCACUUUAUUCUGCUAUCCAUUAAGCUUGACGGGGCAAAAGUAACUGUCUUAGACUCGAGACAUAAAGAUCCCGAGGAUUAUGCGGACAUGAUUGCAAUGCUCAAGAAGUAAGUUCAGUCAAUAUCAGGACCAUACCGGCAUGCAACUUUCAUUAACUUCCUGAUAUCAUGUAAUCAUUUUCUUUGCCUGACAGGGUUUGGAAGAAGUUUACCGAAAAGGCUCCCGGUCUAAACAAAGAGUUGCAAUUUACGCACCCCCAGUAAGUAGUACUAGCUAGUUCCGCAUCUCUAAUUGAUUAAAAUUUUCAUCAAUAUAUCAUUGCCAUGUUUGCUUAUCAGUUUGAUUGAACUCUAUUCUCGUAAAGUGCUUGUACCAGGUAGCUAGGACUGAAAAAUGUGCAUACUACAUAUGCGAGUUCAUUCGCCUCUCGACCUGUGGGCGGGGCAUCUUUGACGAACAAUUUGAAGUACGUAAAUAAUAUUCACAAUUUUAUUUUAUAUAUUACCAUCAAUUGUGUUGAGUUUUAUUCAUAUAUAUGCAUGUAUUGACCGCCUCCUUUAAAUUAGAUCUGGAAGAAGCGGAAUGAACCCCUAUCGGAUGAUGGCAUACGAGCAAUUCAAGAGGAAUUGGCGGGAUUCUUUCUUGACCACGUCAUACCUAAAGAUGGAGAAUACCAUGUGAGCUAUUUGUGAUUGGAUCUUAGGUAGAUGAUGUUAGGCAUUGUAAAAGAUGUUCUAUUAUAAAAGAUGUUAAGGAUUGUAAAUGGUUUCCUUCAUUUUCUUAUUAGCAAGCCUCAUGUUCUCUCUAUAUGUAUAGUAGCUAGCGUCGACCAAGCACGGAGAAAGAGAGGACACUUUUCUCUAUUAGCUAGCUAACACAAUAUGAAACCACUAAAUUAACCUUCCACCCCCCGCCCCCGUUCAAAAAGAACAAAAACCCCAGCUCUGGCCAGAUGCUGACGCGUGGAUGCCAUGUUAUCCCUGUUGGUGUGACCAACCGAGACUAAAGGUCCUCCUGCCCAGGCUCCCUGCAGCGCCCACGUGGAUACCAUUCGGUCCCGGUUCGUAAGCAAACCGGGACUAAAGGUUUUGGGAUUUAGUCCCGACCAUUUAGUCCCAGUUCAAGAACCGGGGCUAAUGGGCCUCUGGAACCGGGACAAAUGGGCCAUUUUAGACUAGUGAUGAUUACUAUAACGUUCAAAGAACAUACAUUCUACAAGGACACAGGGGGAGGGAGGGAGGGAAGUGGAGGGAGGAGGGAGAAGCUACCUCGGUUGGGAGGCAUAGGGCGUGGGACGGGAACAGUGAGAGUGAGAGGGCAUCAGGCGCGGGACAGGAGCUCACAACGGCGGUUCAUGGGGGAGGGCAGUGGGGCACGGCGGCUGGCGUGCAGGAGGGCGGUCGAAGAGAGUGGGAGGACGACGAGCGCAGGACGGGAGUGCAUGUUGGUAGAUCUCGGGGGACGGCGACUGGCACGCGGGAGGGCGACGUGCCUGGGGGAGAGAGUGAGGAGGCGGACAGUGAGGAGAGAGAGGCAAACGACGGAGGAAAGAGGAUAAGGUAUGGUUAGAAGCAACACGGGCCUAGAAAACACGCUACUGCUAAGUGGCGGAAAGGGAGGUGGGCCUGGCCUAGACACGAUAGUAGCGUUGGCUUGUGACCAUUGUUACUAGUAAUUGUAUUAACAGUAGCGUUGGUGGGAGACAAGUGCUGUUACUAAGGCUAGCCCGUGGACGCAUGGCGUGGCUCACAUAUUAGUAGCGCUGGGUGCUAAGUCCGACGCUACUGCUAUAAAUUACCAGUAGCGCCUGUUUGUGCCUAGCGCUACUGCUAAUUAAUAGUAGCAAGGUUCUUUUAUCGCACACUACUAGUAAUGUUCUACCUAUAUGCUAUUUCCUAGUAGUGUGGUGAUACUUACCUCUAACAACCAGCACACUUAGAAAUAAACAACAUGCUCGACAAAGCAGUGCUGCCAUCACAAAGUUGGGGACGGAUGACAAGAUAGGCAUGCAUAUGUCGUGCUAACGGGAUUGGAGGGAUGCGGCGAUCAUGCCAAUCGUUAAUCGGUGGGAACAUGGGCAGUGCAAGGAAGGAAACGAGAAGCAUGGUAUGAGCGUGCAUGCGUGACGGUUGGAAAUUCCAAGGAAUUGGACUAGGUGUGGAGUAACAAUCUAGCAACCCAGCUUGUUGGGCCCUUGUGUUGCGGCCCAAUCGGGGUACAUAGAGGGGCUUCCUUUAAAUUACAGGUUAUGCGAUCAGUUUGAGCAUGAUGAAACAUUACCUGAUAUUGACCCAAUAACCGAAUAACUACAAAAAUAAAAAAUAAAUCCCACAACACCACACAAUUCGGCGAAAUCAAGUCAGUUCGGGUCUCGGCCAAACACCCGAAUGCCUGGCCUUAGAUCGAUGGAUCGAGUUGGCCACCUUCGAAACAACUUUGUGCCUCCAGAAUUGUUCGGGCAUGCUUCUCCUCCUCCUUACUCCUCAAGGAACCCUCUUUCACCCUAGAAAAAGGUAGCUCUAGAAGCUUGUUCCCAUCGCCUCCUAUGUAGCCCGAAAUGGCAAUUCUCCGGUCCACCUUAUUUGGUUGCCCCUCAAAGACAUUAUGUUCAUUUGGUUAGUACAUACGGAUACGUCUCCGUCGUAUCUAAUUUUUUUGAUUGUUUCAUGAAAAUAUUCUACAACUUUCAUAUACUUUUGGCAACUUUUUGUACUAUUUUUGGGACUAACAUAUUGAUCCAGUGCCCAGUGCCAGUUCCUGUUUGUUGCAUGUUUUUUGUUUCACAGAUUAUCCAUACCAAACGAAGUCCAAACACAAUAAAAAACCUACAGGGAUUUGUUUUCGGAAUAUUUAUGAUUUUUGGGAAGAAGAAUCUACAUGAAACGAUGCCCAAGGAGGUCAUAAGCCGAGGAGGCGCGCCCCCCUAGGGCGCGGCUGGCAGGCUUGUGACCAAUCCCUAAGGCGGUUGUGGCCCUUCUUUCGCCGCAAGAAAGAUAAUAUCCGGAAGAAAAUCGUAUUAAAAUUUCAGCCCAAUCGGAGUUACGGAUCUCCGGGAAUUUAAGAAACGGUGAAAGACAGAAUCUGGGAGCGCAGAAACAGAAGGACACAAAGAGAGAGUCCAAUCUCGGACGGGCUCUCUCCCCUUCUCCCAUGGACCAGAGGGGAAACCCUUCUCCCAUCUAGGGAGGAGGUCAAGGAAGAAUAAGAAGAAGAGGGGCUCUCUCCCCCUCUCUCCCGGCGGCGCCGGAACGCCACCCGGGACAUCAUCGUGUGACGGCGAUCUACACCAACACCUCCGUCAUCUUCACCAACACCUCCAUCACCUCCCUCCAUCUAUAUUCAGCAGUCCACUCGCCCGCAACCGGAUGUACCCUCUACUUGAACAUGGUGCUUUAUGCUUCAUAUUAUUAUCCAAUGAUGUGUUGCCAUCCUAUGAUGUCUGAGUAGAUUUUCGUUGUCCUAUCGGUGAUUGAUGAAUUGCUAUGAUUGGUUUAAUUUGCUUGUGAUUAUGUUGUUGUCCUUUGGUGCCCAUCAUAUGAGCGCGCGCGUGGAUCACACCAUAGGGUUAGUAGUAUGUUAAUAGGACUAUGUAUUGGAGGGCAAGGGUGACAGAAGCUCCAGCCUAGCAUAGAAAUUAAUGCAUACGGGAUUGAAGGGGGACCAAUAUAUCUUAUUGCUAUGGUUGGGUUUUACCUUAAUGAACGUUAGUAGUUGCGGAUGCUUGCUAAUAGUUCCAAUCAUAAGUGCAUAGAAUUCCAAGUAAGGGAUUAUAUGCUAGCAGUGGCCUCUCCCACAUAUAACUUGCUAUCGGUCUAAUAACGUAGUCAAUUGCUUAGGGACAAUUCCGCAACUCCUACCACCACUUUUCCACACUCGUUAAACUAACGUAAUUCUAACCAGCCCCUAGUUUUUAUUUUCGUGUUCUUUGUUUUCUUGCAAGCGUAUCCUUUCACACCUAAAAAGUACUUCUAUUUUCAUACUUGUUCUAGGUAAAGCGAACGUAAAGUGUGCGUAGAGUUGUAUUGGUGGUCGAUAGAACUUGAGGGAAUAUUUGUCCUACCUUUAGCUCCUCGUUGGGUUCGACACUCUUACUUAUCAAGAAAGGCUACAAUUGAUCCCCUAUACUUGUGGGUUAUCAAGACCUUUUUCUGGCGCCAUUGUUGGGGAGAGAUAGCGUGGGGUGAAUAUUCUCAUGUGUGCUUGUUUGCUUUAUCACUAAGUAGAGUUAUUUGCUGUUCUAAGUUGUUCUCUAUCUUUAGUUAUGGAUAUGGAACAUGAAAACCAAAAAAAUUAGGUGUACUUGCUACUCAUGGAGAUGGGGAACCUCCUAAAACCCUCGAUGCUCGUUAUGUGGAAUAUAUUAUGCACUUCUUUAAUAAUCCCGAGAAAACCCCAUUAAAUUAUAUAAUGGGAUACACGUUGGAUCAACGUGAAUACUUUAGGGAUUAUCGCUUGACUCAAAAAGGAAAACUAUUAUGGGAUCAAAUUCAUAUGUUGAAAUGGUAUGCUUGGGAGCUAUGCUCAAGAUAUGAUAUUACUUGCUGCUCUAGGAUGAAGGCUAAACAACUUCCCUUUUCUUGUAAAUUUAAUGCUAAUGAAACCUUGGCUUCUUAUGCUAAUGGUAUAUAUGAUUAUUAUGAUGUGGAACAAAUAGAAGAGUUUGUUGCUUUUAUGGGUGCUUAUGAAAUUGAAGCUCUGUUUAAAAGGUGUGAUGAUAAUGAUGAUGCUGCUUACCGAUCUGAAAAUUUGGUUAUGCUUCGUUAUUGUUACACUAAUUGUGAAUAUAAUGCCCAUAUUUAUCAAUUUAUGGAGAAAUUCUACGCUGCCCAAGAAGAUACUAAUAUUUUGCACGAAACUACGGAAGAAGAAAAUACUGAAACUAUGAGCUCAUUAGAUGAAAAAGAUGACGAGGAGAGCGAAGAUCAAAAGGAGGAAGAGCGGACUAGCUACCCGUGCCCACCUUCUAAUGAGAGUAACUCUUCAACUCAUACAUUGUUUAAUUUCCCUUCGUUCUUACCAAAGGAUGAAUGCUAUGAUGAUUGCUAUGAUCCCUUGGAUUCGUUUGAAAUAUCCCUUUUUGAUGAACUUGAUGCUUGCUAUGCUUGUGGCCAUGUUGCCAAUAUGAAUGAUGCUUAUGAAGAUGAACUUUCUAUAGUUUCUUAUGUUAAACAUGAAAUUGUUGCUAUCGCACCCACUUAUGAUAGUCCUAUUAUGUUUUUGAACUCCCCCAACUACACUAUAUCGGAGAAGUUUGCUCUUAUUAGGGAUUACAUAGAUGGGUUGCCUUCUACUAUUACACAUGAUGAUUUUGAUGAAUAUAAUAUGCAUGUGCUUGCUGCUCCUACUUGCAAUUAUUAGGAGAGAGGAACUACAUCUCCACCUCUCUAUGUUUCCAAUACGAUAAAAUUGCAAGAAACUGCUUAUGCUAUGUAUUGGCCUUUACUUGAUGUGCAUGAAUUGUUCUUUUAUGACAUGCCAAUGCAUAGGAAGAGAGAUAGACUUCAUCGUUGCAUGACAUAUGUUACCUUGUUGUCACGCCCAAGAUGCGACCCUAUCCUCAAUUUGGCACGACGGCCUCGUCAGGGAUAGAAGCGCAUCUCGUCGUGUCGCAAGAAUGGAUAUCGUUACAAGUACAUGUACUGAAAAGAAGAUAUAUAUAAAGAGUUGGCUUACACUCGCCACAAGCUACAUCAGAGUCACAUCAGUACAUUACAUAAUCCUCAAGAGUAAGAGCAGGGUCCGACUACGGACGAAACAAACGAGAAAAAUAAGAACGACGUCCAUCCUUGCUAUCCCAGGCUGCCGGCCUGGAACCCAUCCUAGAUCGAUGAAGAAGAAGAAGAAGCAACUCCAAAUGAACAAUCAACGCGCUCGCAUCACGUAACCGUUACCUGUACCUGCAACUGGUGUUGUAGUAAUCUGUGAGCCACAGGGGACUCAGCAAUCUCAUUUCCAAAGGUAUCAAGACUAGCAAAGCUUAAUGGGUGAGGUAUGGUUAGGUGAUGAGGUUGCAGCAACGGCUAAGCAUAUAUUUGGUGGCUAACUUACGAGUACAAGAAACAAGAGGGGGAAGAUCUACGCAUAACGGACGUGAACUACUGAUGAUCAAAUGAAUGAUCCUGAACACCUACCUACGUCAGACAUAACCCCACCGUGUCCUCGAUCGGAGAAGGAACUCACGAAAGAGACAGUCACGGUUACGCACGCGGUUGGCAUAUUUUAAUUAAGUUAACUUCAAGUUAUCUAGAACCAGUGUUAAACAAAGUUUCCACGUUGCCACAUAACCGCGGGCACGGCUUUCCGAAAGAUUCAACCCUGCAGGGGUGCUCCAACUAGUCCAUCACAAAUUACCACAAGCCGCAUAGAAAUCCUCAAUCACGAAGCUCGCGAUCUCGUCGGAUUCCCUAGUGGAAAACCUCAACUCUGAGAUUACCCAGAGCAUCACCGGAAUCCCGAUGCACAAGAUAUCUCGUCAAAGGUAGAACUAAUCCAGCAAGGCCGUCCGACGUGUCGACGAUCCCGAUAGGAGUCGCGUACCUCGUUCUCAGGACACGGCGGAUGAGCUAGACGUCGGGAUCGCUAAACCUCCGGGUGACCAGAGGGGCGCCGGACAUCGCUCAGGUGGGACCAACACUCAUGAGGAGCACUGGCCUGGGGGUUGAUUAAGUUAUCCUCGGGGUCCGGAAAGUCCCUAUGCAAUUUUAUUAGGUGUUUAGGCAAAUGUAGUACUAAAGUUGGGCCUUGCCAGACCAGCUUUAAUCUAAAACGAAUUAUCAAGGGGGUCCCCAUAACAACCCCGAACGUGUUAGGAGCUCUCAUUUAUGGAACAUAACACUGGUAGCCGGAAACUAAGGGGGCAAAGGUGGAACAAAACACCAGGCUAGAAAAGGCCGAGCCUUCCACCUUUUACCAAGUAUAUAGGUGCAUUAAAUUAAAUAGCAUUGAUAUGGGGAUAUAACAAGGAACCCAUGCUUUCGCAUGGAAGAAACUGCACCUCCAACUAGCAACGCUACACAGGGUUAAGCAAGCAGUAACAUAGCCAUUCAGUGGUUUGCUAGGUCGAACAGGUUGAUGGUAAUCAUGGCAUUGUUGAGAGGCUGAUAUUUAACAGGUGGUAGGCAACGAGACUUAAUCGAUAGAAGCGAUAAAACUAGCAUGGCAAUGAUAGUAAUGGUAUCUGGGGAAAUGAUCAUCUUGCCUGAGAUCCCGCUUGGAAGAAGAAUGCCUCCGUGAAGCAGACGAACCGACAUAGUCGAACGGGUCCUCACAUCCGACACGCUUGCGGAACUCUAUCGAGACGAAGCAAACCGGAAACACAAUCAUCACACGGAAUUCACCACACGAUGCACAACACAUAUGAUGCAUGAGCAGCUGAAUAUAAGCAAGUCACGACAUGACAAUUCACACAAACAGACUCUACACAUUAAGUGAAGUUCAAUACGCAACGAGUUGCAUAUUGACGAAACUCCACGUAAUUAUUUAGUUCUAUCCCGGUUAUCUACACGACAAUAUUAAUGUUGUCAAACAUGCACGAGGUGAAGCGGAAAUUAAACUACCUAUAUAGGCAUUUUAAGUGAGGUCGGAAAUGACAUAUAGCACCUCCGAAACGACCUCACAUGUUAAUUUACAAUUCUGUCCAGAUCUGAAUUAACACCUUUAAUUAGUUGUUAAACAGCAAAACAAAUAGGUUCACGUGAUUCUACGUGUCAAGGCAAGCAAUCUACACAUAGAGAUCAUCUCCAACGGAGCUACGGUUCAAAAGAUACAAGCACUGCAAGAUAUGAUGGCAUGAAUGCAAUAUGUGUGCCACGGCGGCUACGAGCACUUCAAAACAUACAACCAGCAAGAGAAAAUGAAACUACACGAGAUUCUAAGCAAGUUUCAUGUAGGACACGAUCAGAACGGAGCUACGGUUCGAAAACUACGAGCAAAACAAGAAAACACACAUAACAUGCAUUUCUAUUGCAACUAAAAAUACCAGGGGCUAAACAAAACAUCCAAGAUCAACUCUCUAGUUGACAACUAAUUGAAACGAGGCACAGAAUAAAUCCUACGAAUUAAUCAAAAGGGCAACAUAGCAAAAUAUCUCGCGAACUAACUUACUCAAAAGCUAAAACUAAUUGCACAGAAAAAUCCAUGGGAUUUUUCUACCCCGGAAACAUAUAAAAUAUGUGGGGUUUGCAACACAAAAUAAAGCCACACAUUAAUGCGAGAUAAAACCUAUAUACGGGAAAAUAAACUAUCGGCAAAUCCCUACACGCAAAAAUACAAUUGACCGCUCUAAAAUGCAUGGAAAAAUGGUCCCUAAAACAUAGGCAUUUCUAUCAUGGCAUUCGAGCAAUCCGGACUCGCGCGGAAAAUAAAUACGGGCUCUAACAAAUUAGGACAGCAAGUUAAUCUAUGCAUACGACACGUCAAACGACGCCAAAUAAAUAUGCAAGUUGGAUAAUCGUCUUCUACGCGCAAAACUACGUGAAAUCCAUAUAAAAUACGCCUCGAUCCGACUUACGGUUUAGAAACUACGGCCAUUUUAAAAUCUAGCAAAUUUUCUGAAAUUAACAAAUCUUUGGAAAAUCCUAAAAUAUACUAACGGGCCUAAUCCGUUCAUGGGCCUAACAGAGCAAGCGCUUAAAUAAAAAAAACGCACUGGGCGGGGGUUAACGGGGCCGGCUCACCACGGCUCUUGGGCCGGAUCUGGAAGGAGGGGGCUCGGGGCCCAGGCGGUGGAGGUGAGGCGCUCGGCCUUGGGAGGCUCCUUGCCACGCGAUAGUGCUGUUGGGACGCACCGCGGGGGCGCCUGGCGUGGGCCGACUCGGGGCCCAGCCGAGGCUGGACGCGACCGUCUCCCCCACGACGAAGCUGCUGGCGCGGAGUUGCAGGAACACGGGCGACGCUGGCGAGGGACUUCCACGGGACCUGGCCGGACUCCGGCACCGGCUGGACGGCGGAGGGCCCCAUCCCAGACCAGAUCAGACCGGAUCCGGCCGGCGGUGGGUGGCGGGGCACGCGACGCUGCAGGAGGAGGCGGUUGCGGCGAGCUCCUCGCGGAGCUCCGGUGGGCAGCAGCCGGGGCAGGCGAGUGGCGGCCGAAGGCGUGGCUGACUGGGAAGGCACGAGGGGCAGCAAGGCGGCGCGCUAUAGGGCGGGGAGGCGCUUGGGAGGCUGGUGGCGCGCUGCUGCGGGCAGGAGGCGUGGGGAGCUCGAGUGCAGGGACGAGAACGGGGCGGCGGCGGCGGCCGGAUGGGCCUGCCCGGGCCCGAUCUGGGCUCGGCGGGCCCGCGGCGGCUGGGGGGGGGGGGGGGGNNNNNNNNNNNNNNNNNNNNNNNNNNNNNNNNNNNNNNNNNNNNNNNNNNNNNNNNNNNNNNNNNNNNNNNNNNNNNNNNNNNNNNNNNNNNNNNNNNNNNGGGCCCGCGGCGGCUGGUGGGUGGGAGGAGAGAGAGAGUGCGGCUAGGGUUUCGGGGGGCGCGGAUCCCGAGGGAGAGAGAGAGGGUUUGCCUAAAAAUAUGGAGGAGGGGGGUAUAUAUAGACAAACGGGGGGCUUGGUUAACCGGAAUUGCGAUCCGGAUCCAACCGCGGUGUCGGAUUCGGAAGAUUCCGAACGCGGGACAUGCUAAGUGACCGUGUUGUGUAGAUGUCCGGAGACGAGAGGGAGAAUGGGCGGCGCGACAACGAUUUUUAAAACACCGAUGACCGUCCGACGGUAGACCGAAUACGGUGCCGCUACGGUCGACCGUUCGGGUACCAGACGGUCUCCGAUUGCGACGAAACUUGACAGGCGGCCUACCUAUAUUAAAAUAACACCGCACGUCAAAUCUCAACCCAAUCAGAGAAAGUUUUCAAUGCACUUUUAAAAUAGGGUUUCGACGGUGCCGCAGGCGCGUGCGAGUGCGGUCGGGCUCAGAACGGACGACGACGCGAACCGGCAACUAACAACGGAUGCAAAUUUUGAAAUCUGGCGGCAACGGAGAUGCCGAUGCAAUGCAGAUGAUGCGAAUGAUGCGAUGAUGAUGCGUCAAAUAUAAAUAGACACACGACAAAACGGAAAGAGAGGGGAAUCUUCUGGAACGUCGGCAUCGGGCUGUCACAACUCUCCUACACUACGAGAGGAUCUCGCCCCGAGAUCCCAGAAUGAAAGGGGGAGAGGAUGAGAAAGAACAAGAGGUAAAAACUUAGUCGCUUCUUUGACAAACGAGUGAAACCAACAAUCCUUGAAGGUGGCAAAGAGAUGAGGAAUGAUAAGAGAAGAAGCAAGAANNNNNNNNNNNNNNNNNNNNNNNNNNNNNNNNNNNNNNNNNNNNNNNNNNNNNNNNNNNNNNNNNNNNNNNNNNNNNNNNNNNNNNNNNNNNNNNNNNNNAAUCUAAUCAAAUAGCAAAAUACAAACUCACCUAUUAGCUUGAACUGGAGAGGAGGGCAGUGGGAAGCCGGGGUGGUGGGCAGCCGGGGAGGAGGGGCAGCCGGGGUAGUGGGCAGCCAGGGAGGAGGGGCAGACGGGGCGGUGGGCAGCCGGGGAGGACGGGCGCGGGGAGAUGCACAUGAAUCUGUCGGAGAUAGGGGGCGUGGGGUGGGGGAUACGGCCGUUAGGGGGCCCCUCUCUUUGCCGUCCGACCCCGACGGCAAAGAGGUGUAAGGCAGACGACAAAGAGAGCGAUUGUUAUGGGGUGGGAGGGGUUGUUUGGUGGGCCGCCCCGUGCUCUUUGUCGUCUUCCCUCGCGUUCUUUUCCGUGCUCCAGCAGACGGCAAAGACAAGACUGAUGGCAAAGAGUAUCUUUGCCAUCAGUCUCCUCUUUGUCAUCCGUUUUUUUGUGACUGACGGCAAAUAGGGUCUUUGCCAUCAGCCAACAGACGGCAAAGAAGAGGCUGACGGCGAAUAACUGAAUUCCAUUAGUGAAUNNNNNNNNNNNNNNNNNNNNNNNNNNNNNNNNNNNNNNNNNNNNNNNNNNNNNNNNNNNNNNNNNNNNNNNNNNNNNNNNNNNNNNNNNNNNNNNNNNNNCAAAACAUGAUCGACACCAGAACUGUAUGGGUGUUAGAUUUAUUACAAUGUAAUUCACAUGGUGAUGUGAGGGCUAGAUUAUUGACUCUAGUGCAAGUGGGAGACUGUUGGAAUUAUGCCCUAGAGGCAAUAAUAAAUGUAUAGUUAUUAUUAUAAUUCCUGUAUCAAGAUAAUAGUUUAUUAUCCAUGCUAUAAUUGUAUUGAAUGAAGACUCAUUUACAUGUGUGGAUACAUAGACAAAACACCAUCCCUAGCAUGCCUCUAGUUGGCUAGCCAGUUGAUCGAUGAUUGUAUUGAUUGGAAACACAAUACUUGUGUGGAUACAUAGACAAAACACUGUCCCUAGUAAGCCUCUAGUUGACUAGCUCGUUGAUCAAAGAUGGUCAAGGUUUCCUGGCCAUAGGCAAGUGUUGUCACUUGAUAACGGGAUCACAUCAUUAGGAGAAUCAUGUGAUGGACUAGACCCAAACUAAUAGACGUAGCAUGUUGAUCGUGUCAUUUUGUUGCUACUGUUUUCUGCGUGUCAAGUAUUUAUUCCUAUGACCAUGAGAUCAUAUAACUCACUGACACCGGAGGAAUGCUUUGUGUGUAUCAAACGUCGCAACGUAACUGGGUGACUAUAAAGAUGCUCUACAGGUAUCUCCGAAGGUGUUCGUUGAGUUAGUAUGGAUCAAGACUGGGAUUUGUCACUCCGUGUGACGGAGAGGUAUCUCGGGGCCCACUCGGUAAUACAACAUCACACACAAGCCUUGCAAGCAAUGUAACUUAGUGUAAGUUGCGGGAUCUUGUAUUACGGAACGAGUAAAGAGACUUGCCGGUAAACGAGAUUGAAAUAGGUAUGCGGAUACUGACGAUCGAAUCUCGGGCAAGUAACAUACCGAAGGACAAAGGGAAUGACAUACGGGAUUAUACGAAUCCUUGGCACUGAGGUUCAAACGAUAAGAUCUUCGUAGAAUAUGUAGGAUCCAAUAUGGGCAUCCAGGUCCCGCUAUUGGAUAUUGACCGAGGAGUCUCUCGGGUCAUGUCUACAUAGUUCUCGAACCCGCAGGGUCUGCACACUUAAGGUUCGACGUUGUUUUAUGCGUAUUUGAGUUAUAUGGUUGGUUACCGAAUGUUGUUCGGAGUCCCGGAUGAGAUCACGGACGUCACGAGGGUUUCCGGAAUGGUCCGGAAACGAAGAUUGAUAUAUAGGAUGACCUCAUUUGGUUACCGGAAGGUUUUCGUGCAUUACCGGAAAAGUUUCGGGCUCAUCGGUAGUGUACCGGGAGUGCCGGGAGGGGUGCCGGGGACCAUCGGGAGGGGUGUCACGCCCCAAGGGGUCUCAUGGGCUAUGGGAAGAGAUAAACCAGCCCCUAGUGGGCUGGAAUAAGUUCCCACUAAGGCCCAUAAGGUUUGAGAAGGAAAAAACACAAGGUGGAAAGAGUUUCCAAGUGGGAAGGUGGAAUCCUACUCCAAGUAGGAUUGGAGUAGGACUCCUCCACCUCCAAUUUCGGCCAAACCUUGAGGGUUUGAGGCUGCCUCUUCCCUCCCCCUCCCUCCUAUAUAUACUAAGGUAUUAGGGCUGAUUUGAGACAACUUUUUCCACGGCAGCCCGACCACAUACCUCCA
rnacentral:lncRNA from 1 species